rnacentral:lncRNA from 1 species
AGGCAGCAACCUCAACACUACUCACGCGGUCUAGCACCAAAAUCUGCACAGAAAGUGCAGAGUGCAGUAUCAGUACAACCGACCCCAUAUACUAGUAAGUGUCGAGCCUAACCUCGGCUAAGUAGUGACGAGGCUAGGACGCGACAACCAUAUAAACCUGUGCAGUUAAAUCAUAUACGAGAAAUAAUAAUAACAUAAUUGAAUUGAUAAAGAUGGGGAAUGGAAACAUGCUGAGGGGAAUAUCAAAUUCCGACAGUAAUAAAGUAGAGAAACAAGGUAAAUAUCAACUUUGAAACAAUAGAAAUGAUAACACAGUAACAAGUGCACGACAUCACCCUUCGCGCUUUUACUCUCAUCGUCACCAUAAAAAUCAACAGAAACGACACGACAUCACCCUUCGUGCUAUUACUCUCUCAUGAUCAUGGCACGGCAUUACCCUUCGUGCAUUAACACUCACAAAAAUAUGGCACGGCAUCACACUUCAUGCAUUAACACUCACAGAAAUAUCGUGCACGAUAUCACCCUUCGUUCUUUAUACUCUUCCUCACCCAAACAAUAGUAACAACAACAUCCCGGUAAGGGAAUCAACCAUAGAAACAAUAACAUCCCGACAAGGUAAUCAACAAUAGAAACAAUAACAUCUCGGCAAGGGAAUCAACAAUAGAAACAAUAACAUCCUGGCAAGGGAAUCAGCUAUAACCAACCUCGUUUCAACAUUUAACUUCACAAAAUAGGCCUCAACAUGAAUCAAUACUCAACAAUGGUCAAUUACCAGAAAAUAUCAUAAGUCUUGUUCCACAUGGAUAAUCAUCAAUUUAAGCAUGAAUAGUACAUAAUAAUAAUCACAACGAUCACAGUUUAAGACUCACUUGCAUGCUCGACACCAACGUAAAGAUACUCAUAACCACACCUAUACAUCGUACUCUACUAUAACAUGUAGCAAUUAAGACGCAACACCUAUUCCCUCAAGCUAAGGUUAGACCAAACACUUACCUCGAUUCCACGGCCAAAAGCCAAGCCUCAAUUACCGCUUUACCUCUCGAUUCCACUACUAAUUCACUCGUAUGUAGUCAUAAUCAACUUAAUAACAUUAAUAAAUGCUAAAUAACUCAACUCUAACACAUAAUUAUAGGUUUUAUAACACUUUCCACAAAAAGUCAAAACCUGACCCCAGGCCCGCUUGGUCCAAACUCGAAAUUCGGACCAAAACUCGAUUACCCAUUCACCCCCGAGCCCGAAUAUACAAUUGGUUUUGGAAUCCGACCUCAAUUUGAGGUCUAAUUAUCCAAAUUUUGAAAUCCCAAUAUCACCUAAAAACACCCAAUUUCCCAUGAAAAUCCUUAGAUUUUGUGAUGAAAUCUUGUAAAAAAUGAGAUACAUUGAAAGAAAUGAGUUAGAAAUCACUUACCUAUGAUUUGGAGAAGUUUGGGUCUUUGAAAAAUCUCCUAGGAAGGUUUAGGGUUUGAGAGAAUGGAAAAAUAGGUGAAAAUUCCGUCUAAGUCCAAACAUAUCAGCUGCAGAUGUCGUAAUUGCGACUGGAGUUUCACAUUUGCGAAGCUCGCAAAUGCGAAAUAGGCAUCGCAAUUGCGAAAUAGGCAUCACAAUUGCGAACCUUCUGCAUUUGUGCUGCUAUCGCAAUUGCGACCUUUUGGUCGCAAUUGUGAAGUUUCCCUUGCCCUGUUGACUUCGCAAAUGCGAAGGAGAGUUCGCAAAUGCGAACAUGCUAGCACAGCCUUUGGAUCGCAUUUGCGAUAAAAGACUCGCAAUUGCCAUACUGACAGGCCUCGCAAUUGCGAACUCUGAUCUCGCAAUUGCGAGAUCAGAGGCCAACACCAGAUAUGAAACCAACAACAUUUUUUUCCAAUUCUAAAACACUCCGAAGCCUAUCCAAAACUCACCGAGCCCUCGGAGCUCUAAACCAAACAUGCACACAAGUAUAAAAACAUCAUACGGACUUGCUCGUGCGAUCAAAUCACCAAAAUAACAUCUUAAACAACGAAUUUAGCAUCAAAACUCAUGAAACUUUCAAGAUAGUUCAAAAUUUCUAACUUUUCAACUAAAGGUUCGAAUUACAUCAAAUCACCUCCAUUUACCACCAAAUUUCACAAAUAGGGUCUAAAUACCAUAAUGGACCUGUACCAGGCUCCGAAACCAAAAUACGGGACCUAUACCAACAAGAUCAAAUCUAUUUAAAUUUCCAAAACCAUUAUAUUUUUAAUCAAACAAUUUUCUUCAAAAAUUCAUUUCUCGGGCUAGGGACCUCAGAAUUCAAUUUUGAGUAUACGCCCAAGUCCUAGAUUUUACUACAGACCCUACGGGAUCGUCAAAACAUGGGUCUGGAUCCAUUUACCAAAAAUGUUGACCAAAGUCAACUUUAAUUAAUUUUAAAGGAAAAUUUCAAUAUUUUUCUUAAAUUUCACAUAAGGGAUUUCCGGAAACGCGCCCGGUCCGUGUACGCAAAUUGAGGAGAAAGAAAAUGAGGUUUCCAAGGCCCUGAAACCUAGAUUCGGAUUUUAAAACACAAGAUGACCCUUUGGGUCAUCACAUUCUCCUCCUCUAAAACAACCAUUCGUCUUCGAACAGACAUAGAAAAGUACCUGAGUCGGUGAAAAGAUGGGGAUAUCGGCUCCGUAUAUCGGACUCAGACUCCCAAGUAGCUGCCUCCAUAGGCUGACCUCUCCGAUGCACACGAACCGAAGGAUAACUCUUCGAUCUCAAUUGUCGAACCUGCCAGUCUGGAAUAGCUACCGACUCCUACUCGUAGGUCAAAUCCUUGUCCAACUAGACAGUGCUGAAGUCUAACACGUGGGAUGGAUCGCCAUGAUACUUUCGAAGCAUGGACACAUGAAAUAAUGGAUGCACUUCUGAUAAACCUGGUGGCAACGCAAACUCGUAAGCCACCUCUCCCACUCUCCGAAGAAUCUCAAAAGGCCCAACGAACUUAGGGCUUAACUUGCCCUUCUUCCCAAAUCUCAUCACGCCCUUCAUGGGUGACACCCGAAGCAACACUCGCUCUCCGACCAUGAAUGUCACAUCACGAACCUUACGGUUGGCAUAACUCUUUUGCCUGGACUGAGUUGUACUAAGUCUAUCCUGAAUUUUUAACCUUGUCCAAGGUGUCUUGCACUAAAUCUGCACCCAACAAUCGAGCCUCUCCCGGCUCAAACCAUCCAACCGGUGACUGACACCGUCUACCAUAUAAUGCCUCAUAGGGAGUCAUCUGGAUGCUCGACUGAUAAUUGUUGUUGUAGGUAAACUCCGCUAAUGGCAAGAACUUAUCCCAAGAACCUCCAAAGUCAAUAACACAUGUGCGGAGCAUAUCCUUCAAAAUCUGAAUAGUACGCUCAAACUAUCCAUCCAUCUGAGGAUGAAAUGUUGUGCUCAACUCGACCUGCAUACCUAAAUCACGCUGAACUGACCUCCAGAAAUGUGAGGUAAACUGUGUACCCUGAUCAGAAAUGAUAGACAUGGGCACACCAUGAAGACGAAUAAUCUCCCGGAUGUAGAUCUCAGCCAGCCUCUCCGAAGAAUAGGAAAAUGCCACAGGAAUGAAAUGUGUUGACUUAUUCAGCCUAUCCACAAUAACCCAUACUGCAUCGAACUUCCUUUGAGUCUAUGGGAGUCCAACAACGAAAUCUAUAGUGAUACGCUCCCACUUCCACUCAGGAAUCUCAAUCUGCUAAAGCAAACCACCAGGUCUCUGAUGCUCGUACUUUNNNNNNNNNNNNNNNNNNNNNNNNNNNNNNNNNNNNNNNNNNNNNNNNNNNNNNNNNNNNNNNNNNNNNNNNNNNNNNNNNNNNNNNNNNNNNNNNNNNNNNNNNNNNNNNNNNNNNNNNNNNNNNNNNNNNNNNNNNNNNNNNNNNNNNNNNNNNNNNNNNNNNNNNNNNNNNNNNNNNNNNNNNNNNNNNNNNNNNNNNNNNNNNNNNNNNNNNNNNNNNNNNNNNNNNNNNNNNNNNNNNNNNNNNNNNNNNNNNNNNNNNNNNNNNNNNNNNNNNNNNNNNNNNNNNNNNNNNNNNNNNNNNNNNNNNNNNNNNNNNNNNNNNNNNNNNNNNNNNNNNNNNNNNNNNNNNNNNNNNNNNNNNNNNNNNNNNNNNNNNNNNNNNNNNNNNNNNNNNNNNNNNNNNNNNNNNNNNNNNNNNNNNNNNNNNNNNNNNNNNNNNNNNNNNNNNNNNNNNNNNNNNNNNNNNNNNNNNNNUACGACCGUGCAUCCUCAAAACUCCAUCAUCUCCCACUAUAACCCUUCUUGGCACCUCCGUGCCGUACUGUGUCUCUAAGGACAAGCAAAUGAGGAUCAUCAUAUUGUCGAUCUCUAAUACGCUCAAAUAAUGAAGAACAAGCGACUGUGCAGGCUGGAACACGGUUGGGCUCAGAAACAUCCAACCUCACGAACUGAUUGGCUAAAGCCUAAACAUCCAAAGCAAGCGGUCUCUCACCGACUGGAAUAUACGCAAAGCUGCCCAUACUAGCUGACUUCCUACUUAAAUCAUCGGCCACUACAUUGGCUUUUCUAGGAUGAUACAAGAAAGUGAUAUCAUAGUUUUUCAAUAGCUCCAACCACCUCAUCUGCCUCAUUUAGCUCCUUCUGCUUUAACAAGUAUUGCAAACUCUUGUGAUCCGUGAACACCUCACACGACACACCAUAUAAAUAAUGCCUCCAAAUCUUCAGCGCGUGAACAAUAGCUACUAGCUCCAAAUCAUGAACUAGAUAAUUCUUCUCAUGGAUCUUCAACUAAUGCGAAGCAUAUGAAAUAACCUUGCUAUUCUGCAUCAACACCGCACCGACUCUAAUAUGAGAUGCAUCACAAUAUACUGUAUAUGGCCCUGAACCCGUGGGCAAUACCAACACCGGCGCUGUAGUCAAAGUUUGUCUUGAGCUUCUGAAAGCUCACCUCACACUCGUCCGACCAGCUGAACUGGGCACCUUUCUAGGUCAACUGGUCAUCGGGGCUGCUAUAGAUGAAAACCCCUCCACAAACCGAUGGUAAUAACCCGCCAAACCCAAGAAACUCUGAAUCUAUGUAGCUGAUGUAGGUCUAGGCCAGUCCUUGACUGCCUCAAUCUUCUUAGGAUCCACCUGAAUACCCUUAUACAACAUGACCCAAGAAUGCAACUAAACUCAACCAAAACUCACAUUUCAAAAACUUAGCAUAUAACUGGCUGUCUCUCAGAGUCUGGAGAACGACUCGAAGAUGCUACUCUUGCUCCUCUUGGCUGCGGGAGUAGAUCAAGAUAUCAUCAGUGAAAACAAUCACAAAGGAAUCCAAAUAGGGCUUGAACACUCGGUUCAUCAAAUCCAUAAAUGAUGCUGGGGCAUUUGUCAAUCCAAAUGACAUCACUAGGAACUCAUAAUGCCCAUAUCGUGUCCGAAAAGCUGUCUUAAGGACAUUGGAUGCCCUAUCUCAACUGAUGGUAGCCAUAUCUCAAAUCNNNNNNNNNNNNNNNNNNNNNNNNNGCUCCUUCAAUUCUUUCAACUGUGGCGGGGCUAUACGAUAUGGCGGAAUAGAAAUGGGCUGAGUGCCCGAAGCCAAAUCAAUGCAAAAUUCAAUAUCACUAUCGAGUGGCAUCCCCGGUAGGUCUGAAGGAAACACCUGUGGAAACUCCCGAACAACUGGCAUAGAAUCCAUAGGAGGAACCUCAGCACUGAAAUCACGAACAUAUGCCAAAUAAGCCAAACACCCCUUCUCGACCAUACGCCGAGACUUUAUAUAAGAAAUAACCCUACUGGUAGAAUGACCAAGAGUCCCUCUCUACUCCAAUCGAGGAAACCCUGGCAAGGCUAAGGUCACGGUCUUGGUGUGACAGUCUAAUAUAGCAUGAUAAGGUGAUAGCCAAUCCAUCACCAAAAUGACAUCAAAAUCGACCAUAUCAAGAAGUAGGAGAUCUACACGGGUCUCAAGACCUCCAAUAAUAACUACACAUGAGUGAUAGACGCAAUCUACAAUAACAGAAUCACCGACCGGUGUAGACACAUAUACAUGAGCACUCAAAGAAUCACGAGGCACAACCAAAUAGGUAGCAAAAUAAGAUGACAUAUAGGAGUAUGUAGAACUUGGAUCAAAUAGAACUGUAGCAUCUCUACUGCAAACUAAAACCGUACAUGUGAUAACGGCAUCAGAUGCCUCAGCCUCAGGCCUAGCUGGGAAAGCAUAACAUCGGGGCUGGGCCCCACCACUCUGAAUUACAUCACUGGGACAGCUUCCUACUGGCUAGCCUCCACCUCUAGCGGCCUGAUCUUCACCUCUAACAUCUCGACCUCCACCUCUAGCUGCCUGAACCCUACCUCUAGCUGGCUGAGUAGGCGAUGGAACACUCGCUACUGGAACUAUGGCACGAGAACCCUGAUGCUAAGAACUGCUCGAUGCUCGAGGGCAAAAUCUAGCAAUGUGCCUCGGAUCACCAUAUGUAUAACAAGACCUUGGCUGUUGACCCAGAAAUUGACCCUGACGACCGGAGUAACCAACUUGAAAACUCUGGAGCGGAGGUGCACUGAUAGGAGCUGGUGGUGCACUAUAGGUUAGCUGAUCAGAAUACUGCAUAUGAAAACUACGACCACCUGGAGCAUCGUGAGAAGCCUAAAGUGCUGAAUGAAAUAUCCUGGGAGGUGGCCCCUACCAAAAGAAUCCCUGCCUCCAGACGAGGCACCACUGAACCUGCCAGAAUGACGGGGCCUCUUGUCAGACCCCUAACCACUCCCCUGAGCUAAAACCAUCUCGACUCGCCUGGCCACGUUGGCCGCAUCCUGAAAAGAAAUCUCGCUCCCCAUCUCCUUAGCCAUCUGCAAUCUGUUAGGAUGAGCUAGUCCCUCAAUAAACCUCCUCACCCUCUCUCUCUCGGUGGGAAGUAUAAGAAGAGCAUGAUGGGCCAAGCCAAUAAAUCUUGUCUCUUACUGAGUGACGGUCAUAGAUCGUUGCUGGAGACGCUCAAACUGCCUCCGAUAGUCCUCCUUCUGAGUGAUAGGAAGAAGUUUUUCCAGAAAUAGCUGAGAGAACUGGUCCCAAAUCAAAGCCGGUGACCCAGCUAGUCUAGAAAAACAAUAAUCCUUCCACCAAUUCUUGGCGAAAUCUGACGGACGAAAAAUAGCAAAGUCAACCCCAGUGGUCUCCACUAUCCCCAUGUUCUGUAGAACCUCAUGACAACUGUCCAAAUAGUCUUGGGGAUCCUCUAAAGAUGUACCACCAUAGGUAGUAGUGAAAAGCUUGGUGAACCUAUCCAAUCUCUACAAAGCAUCAAAAGACAUAGCUACUCUAUCAUAGGUCUAUGCUGCAGCACCCGGCAAAACUACCCCAACUGGCUGAGCUGCUGGAGUUUGAAACUGGGGAGCCAUUUACUCCGAAGUGCGUGUAGCGGGAGUCUUUGCUCCUCCCCCAGCUUGAGAGAUGGAUGGUGCUAUAGGAAGUAUGCCUGCCUGAGUGACACUCUCCAUAAGGCCCACUAGACGGACCAGAGCAUCCUAGAGUACCGGGGUGGCGAUGAACCCCUCUGGAACCUGAGCUGGCCCUGCUGGAAUGGUCUAGGUCGGAGCCUCCUCCUCAAACUCUACUUAAGGCUCUGGCGCUGUUGCUCGAGCUCUGGGUUGAGCCAUGCCCCUGCCUCAGCCUCUGGCAUGACCUCAACCUCAUCCUCUUCCCCUCGUAGGAGUUGCCACUAGGGGCUCGGGCUGCUGAUCAGCUGAUGAAGCGGUAUGUGUUCUCGCCAUCUGCGCAAGAAUGGAGUAGAGGUUUGAUUAGCAUUGAGAAGUCAAAUCACACGAUAGAGAUGAAUAGAUGUGAAGUUAUUCCUAAACUUUGUAACCUCUGGGGGAUAAGCAUAAACGUCUCUGUACUGAUCUCUCAGACUCUACCAAGCUUGUUCGUGAAUUUUGAGACCUAGGCAACCUAGUGCUCUGAUACCAACUUGUCACGACCCGGAUUUCCCAUUUUCGGGAUUGCGAUGGCACCUAACUAUUGAAUGCUAGGCAAGCCAACAACUAUGGUUUUAACACAUUAGCAAUUAACCCAAACAGAAGUAAAUAAUAUCUAAAGCAAAACAGAUAUAAAGUGCGGAAGUGUUAUAACAACUCAAAAUACUCCAAUACAUGUCUAUCCCAAUGAUCUGGUGUCAUAAUUCACAAAUAUAUAAGAAGUUCUACAAAUAUUGGUUUGAAAACUAUUCUCGAAAGGCAAAGAGACAGAUAAUCCAAAAUAGGGGGAAGGGGGACUCCAGGGUCUGCAGACGUCGGUAGAUCUACCUUGGGUCUCCAGUAGACUGAAGGUAGCAACCUCAACACUACUCACGUGGUCCAGCACCGAAAUCUACAUAGAAAGUGCAAAAAGCAGUAUCAGUACAACCUACCCCAUAUAUUGGUAAGUGUCGAGCCUAACCUUGGCGAAGUAGUGACGAGGCUAGGACACGACAAACAUAAACUUGUGCAGUUAAAUCAUAUAUGAGAAAUAAUAAUAACAUAAUUGAACAAAUAAGGGCAGGGAAGGGAAACAUGCUGAGGGGAAUAUCAAAUUCUGACAGUAAUAAAGUAGAGAAACAAGGUAAAUAUCAACUUUGAAACAACAGAAAUGAUAACACAGUAACAAGUGCACGACAUCACCCUUCGUGCUUUUACUCUCGUCCUCACAUAGAAAUCAACAGAAACGGACCGGCAUCACCCUUCGUGCUUUUACUCUCUUAUGAUCAUGGCAUGACAUCACCCUUCGUGCAUUAACACUCACAGAAAUAUGGAACGACAUCAUCCCUUCGUGGUUUUACACUCUCUCACAAUAUUGUGCACGGCAUCACCCUUCAUGCUUUACACUCUUCCUCACCUAAAUAAUAGGAACAACAAUAUCCCGGCAAAGGAAUCAACAAUAGAAACAAUAACAUCCCGACAAGGGAAUCAACAAUAGAAACAAUAACAUCCCGGCAAAGAAUUAGCUAUGACCAACCCCGUUUCAACAGUUAACUUCAGAGAAUAGGCCUCAACUUGAAUCAAUACUCAACAAUGGUCAAUUACCAGAAAAUAUCAUAAGUCUUGUUCAACAUGGAUAAUCAUUAAUUAAGCAUGAAUAGACAUAAUAAGAAUCACAACGAUCACAGUUUAAGACUCACUUGCAUGCUCGAUACCAACGUCUAGAUACUCGUCACCGCACCUAUACGUUGUACUCUACUCUAACACAUAGCAAUUAAGAAACAACACCUAUUCCCUCAAGCUAAGGUUAGACCAAACACUUACCUCGAUUCCACGGCCAAAAGUCAAGCCUCAAUUACCGCUUUAACUCUCGAUUCCACUACCAAUUCACUCGUAUCUAGUCAUAAUCAACUUAAUAACAUCAAUAAAUCCUAAAUAACUCAACUCCAAUGCAUAAUUAUACGUUUUAUAACAUUUUCCCCAAAAAUUCAAAACCCGACCCUGGGCCUGCUUGGUCCAAACUCAAAAUUCGGACAAAACCGGAUUACCCAUUCACCCUGAGUCCGGAUAUACAAUUGCUUUUGGAAUUCGGCCUCAAUUUGAGGUCUAAUUCCCCAAAUUUUGAAAUUCCAAAAUUUCACCUAAAAACACCCCAUUUCCCAUGAAAAUCCUUAGUUUUGGUGAUGAAAGCUUGUAAAAAGAUGAGAUAGAUUGAAAGAAAUGAGUUAGAAAUCACUUACCUAUGAUUUGGAGAAGUUUGAGUCUUUGAAAAAUCGCCUAGGGGGGUUUAAGGUUUGAGAGAAUUGAAAAAUGGGUGAAAAUCCCGUCAAAAUCCAAACAUAUCAGCUGCAAAUGUCGCAAUUGUGACUGGAGCUUCUCAUUUGCGAAGCUCAAAAAUGCGAGAAAGGCAUUGCAAUUACGAACCUUCCGCAUUUCUGCUGUUAUCGCAGAUGCGACCUUUUCGUCGCAAUUGCGAAGUUCCCCCUGCCCUGUUGAGUUCGCAAAUGCGAACAUGCUGGCCCAGCCUUUGGAUCGCAUUUGCAAUGAAAGGAUGUCAAUUGCCACACUGAGAGGCCUCGCAAUUGAGAACUCUGGUCUCGCAAUUGCGAGAUCAGAGGCCAACACCAUAUCUGAAACCUGCAACAUUUUUUUCCAAGUCUAAAACACUUCGAAGCCUAUCCAAAACUCACCCGCGCCCCCGGGGCUCUAAACCAAACAUGCACACAAGUCUAAUAACAUCAUACGGACUUGCUCGUGCAAUCAAAUCGCUAAAAUAACAUCUUAAACAACGAAUUUAGCAUCAAAACUCAUGAAACUUUUAAGAUAGUUCAAAAUUUCUAACUUUUCAACCAAAGGUCUGAAUUACAUCAAAUCACCUCCGUUUUCCACCAAAUUUCACAUAUAGGGUCUAAAUACCAUAACAGACUCGUACUGGGCUCCGGAACCAAAGUACGGGCCCGAUACCAACAAAAUCAAAUCUAUUUAAAUUUCCAAAACAUUAUAUUUUUAGUCAAAUAAUUUUUUUUAAAAAUUCAUUUCUCGCGCUAGGGAUCUCGGAAUUAGAUUUCGGGCAUACACCCGAGUCCCAUAUUUUACUACAAACUCUACGGGACCAUCAAAUCACGGGUCCGGGUUCGUUUACCAAAAUUGUGGACCAAAGUCAACUUUAAUUAAUUUUAAAGGCAAAUUUCAAUAUUUUUCUUAAAUUUCACAUAAAGGCUUUUCGGAAACACGCUCGGGCUAUGCACGCAAAUUGAGGAGACAAAAAAUGAGGUUUUCAAGGCUUUGGAACCCAGAUUCGGGUUCUAAAGCACAAGAUGACCCUUUGGGUCAUCACAAGGCCCUGUAUUGGGUUGAGUGUUAUUUAUAUUGAGGUGACGCGUACACCAGACAUCACAUUGGGCUUACUUGUAUUGUUUAGGGGCGACACGUGCACCAGGCCCGAUGCUGGGGUAUGUGAUAUUGAUUAUUGAUUAGCGCUUGGGAAAGAAUCUGCCCCUCCGGAGUCUGGUAUUACAGUGAGUGCAUGCACAAUGAUAUAUAUAUGUGCUUUGGUGAGGGGCAUAUGUGCCAGGCAGCCAUACAGUGCUGAGUGUGAUUGUGUGUGUGAUGAUGGUGAGGGAAUUUGUGCCAGACACCAUGAGUGUGAGUAUAUACGGUGGCUUCGCUAUGAUAUUAUUACUUGAUAUGUAUAUGUGAUAUGUAGGCAUAGAGAUGUAUUUUCCUCCUAGAUAGUAAAUGAAAUGUCUUAUCUAUUGUUGAAAGUUUGGAAAAUCAGAGUUCCUUGUUAAACUCAUGCUUUAGUGAUAUCGGAGAAAGAUUCGGGCUUUGGCUGUUAUACUUGGGAAAACAUGCCUAAUUUUCCGUAUUUAUGAAUGAGUCAACUUGAAUUGUUUUAUUCUACUCUCAUCAUUUUAUCAUGUGCUAUUAUUGAUCAUUACACUGAUCUUCUUCUGAGCUUGUCAAUGCUUUUAGUCUGAGUUUAGUUAACUUAUUGAGUACAUGAAUUCGGCUGUACUCAUACUACACUUUUACAGCUUUCAUGCAGAUCUUAGAGUUGUUGUUGUGUAUGACGGGAGCUGGCAUUGAAGAAGUACCUGUUAUCCGGACAUAGCUAUCACUUGUCCUUGAUAGUUUUAUAUUCAAAUUUUAUUUUUGUAUAUUUCAAAUAGAUAUUGUAUUUAUUUUCAUACCAGCUUUGUAAAUUUAAGUCUUAGUGACUCAUGACUUGUACUACCAAUCCUUGGGUUAAUGUAUAGGAACUCAGUUAUUUCACUUAAAUAUUUUCUUAUUAUUCUAAUUAGAAUUGUGGAAUUGUUGCUUGGCUUACCUAGCGGGUCAGCUUAGGUGCCAUCACGACUAGGUGGAUUUUGGGUCGUGACAGAAAUUUAGUUAUUUUUCUACUUUUUAGUACUUUGAAAUCAACUAGUAUAUUUAAUUAUUAAAUAUUUUCAAAUCUAAAUUAUGUGGGAAGUCAUAAUAUUUAGGACUUCAACAUAAAUAUAUCUGGGAGUUCUUUUCCUUAUAUUUGCUUACGCUAAUUUCCAUAUGAAUUAUGUUUGAACUUAUAUCUCUAAGGGAAGAUUCCAUAUACAGUUUGUUACCCAACUUGUCACGACCCAAAGUCCAACUAGCCGUGAUGAAAUAAAUAUAUAUCUGUUUGAAAUAUACAUGAACAUAUUAAUAAUUCUAAAGCUACCAAGAAUAAUAGGCAGCAAUGACCGGAAUACAUGUACCUCUUCAAUGCUAGCUCCCACCAUACACAACAAGUUUAGCAUAAAAAAUCGACAUGCAAAGUGCAGAAGUAUAGUAUGAGUACAACCGACCCCAUGUACGCAAUAAGUAACAAACCUAACCUUAGGUUGAAAGUAGUGACGAGCUGAGACAAAGGUCGGGGUCCAACACCAAUAGCCAACAACAGUUCAUAACAAUAUAAUAAAAGUUAUACAAGAAGUAACUCAUAGAUGUAAUGCUCAUCUCGUUGACAGUUACGGAAAAUAGUCAUGCUUUUCAAGUAUAACAGUAAAACCCAAAUCCUUCACCGAAAUUACCAAAAUAUGAGUAAGUCAUAAAACUUUGACUUUUUUCCCAAAAACUUUCAACAAUAAAUAAGAUCUUUCAUUAUCAGAUAGCAUGAGGAAACUACUUCUCUAUGCAUACAUAUCAAAGUGCACGUGAAAUCAUGAAUGUCACCAAAACCGCAUAGCAUGAAGAAAUGCAUCUCUAUGCCUGUAUAUCAAGUAUGCACGUCAAAUGUAAUGUAUCACAACGAUGAACUCAUGUACUCGCACUCUCAGAGUACUCAAUCUCACUGUCUACCACUUUCCAUCCCUUCACGCUCAAUCACUCAACACACUCAGUCACUCAGCACUAAACAUGGCAGAUCCAGCCCUCUACACUCUCAGUCACUCAGCACUGUAUAGGGCAGAUCUAGCCCAGGGCAGAUCUAGUCCAAAUGAAUCAAUAGCAACUGCGCUCACUAUGGGUGUGCAGACUCCGAAGGGGCAGAUCCAGCCCAAGCGCUAUAAUAAGCCAAUCAUGGCAUGAAUCAAUAAUACCUGCUGCAGCAUGUAGCCCGAUCCCAUCAUGAAUCAAUAAUACUUGUCGUGACAUGCAACCCGAUCCCAUCAAUAUCACUCAUAAUACGGCUCUCAGGCCUCAACUCAGUCAUCAAUCUCUCUGGUAUCUCGGGCUCACAAUGUCAUGAAAGUCAGCCCAAAAAUAAUGAUAUGAUGUAUCAAUAAAUGGCAACAAAGUCUGAGAUAUGAUAUGCAAAUGAAUGUGUAUGACUGAGUGUGUAAUUGCAAUUUGCACAAAUAACUCAACAACAUAAAUGACCUCAGUAGGUCCCAACAUGAUAAGCAUAUAGCCUAGACAUAGUUUCUAACAUGGAUCACAGUUCAAUUACUCUAGCACAUAGAAAUUUCAUGAAUAGAAACAAAAUUAGGUCACUUUACAGUACCGCAAAAUAAAUUGAGACAUAAUUCAUAUGGUGCACGCUCACAUGCCCGUCACCUAGCAUGUGCGUCACCUCAAAACCAAACACAUAACACAUAUAUUCAGGGGUUCAUACCCUUAGCACCAAGUUUAUAAGUGUUACUUCCCUCGAACAAGCCAAAUCCAAUACUGAGAAAGCCAAACAAUGCUCCAAAAAUGCCAUCCCGCACGUACUGGCCUCCGAACGGCUCAAAACUAGCCAAAAGUAACUCAAAUACAUAGAAUAAUGCUUAAGGAAACAAUUCCAAAUAAUAAAGGUCGAAUAUUUAAUCAAAACCCCGAAGUCAACCAAAAAGUCAAACCCGGUCUAGCAACUUGGAACCCGGCAAAAAUCACAAAAUCCGACAACCCAUUCAAUUACGAGUCCAACUAUACUAGUUUAACUCAAAUUCAACUCUGAAUCGAUGCUCAAAACUCAAAAAUUCACUUUAUGAAAUUUUAGACAAAAACCCCCAAUUUCACUUUAAAAUUCAUAAUCCAAUUACCAAAAAGGAAGACAGAUUCAUGAAAUAUAAUCAAAAUCGAGUAUAGAACACUUACCCUAAUCCUUAUGAUGAAACUUUCCUCCAAAAUCGCUCAAAUCUGAGCUCCCCAUCUUAAAAUGUUAAUAAGCAGUCAAGCCCUCGAUAUAUAGGUUCUACCCAGGCAUCGUCGCAUCUGCGACACACUUAGCCUCUUUUGCAACGUCGUUUUGCGACCAAAAACUUGCUUCUGUGAAAAACACUGAAACUCGCCCAACGCAUCUGAGGAAAAUGCUCCGCUUCUGUGCACAUGCAGGUGCGAUAACAGCUCUCGCAUCUGCGCUAUACUUCGCUUCCAAGUUCAAACUCACUGCUUCUGCAAUUCCAUAGAUGUGCCCAAAAUGCUGCUUCUGUGCAAACAAUCCCACAUAGCCUAUUUCGCCUCUGCGACCAAAUUGUCCCAUCUGCGUCCAGCCCUCCGCAGAUGUGGACGCACUAGAACCAGAACCUUCAGCCAAGCCAACUUGAUCCAAAACGUUUCGAAGCUCGUCCGAAACUCAUUCGAGCUCUUCGGGACCCCGUCCAAGUAUUCCAACAAGUCCCAUAACAUAACAUGGACUUACUCGAUGCCUCAAAUCACACAUAACAACAUCGAAAUGACGAAUCGCACCUCAAACCAAUCUUAAUGAACUUUCAACUUCCAAAACUCGCGUUGAAACAAAUCAAGUCAACUUGGAAUGAACUCAAAUUUUGCACAUAAGUCCCAACUGACAUAACGAAGCUAUUCCAAUUCCCCAAAACCAAAAUCCAAACCCGAUUUCAUCAAAGUCAACUCCUGGUCAAACCUACGAACUUUCCAAACCUUCAAAUUUCCAAUUUUUGCCAAUUAGCACCGAAACCUUCUAGAAAUAUCUAAAUGCAAUUUGGGCAUACGACCAAGUCCAAAAUCACCAUCCGGACCUAAGGGAACCAUCAAAACUCCGAACCGAGGUCAAAUACUGAAAAGUCAAACUUGGUGAACUAUUCCAACUUAAAGCUUCAAUCAUGAAAUUCAUUCUUCCAAAUCACUUUCGAAUCACCUGAAAGCCAAAACCGACAAUUCACACAAGGUUUAAUUCAUCAUACGAUUCUGCUCAAGACUUUAAAUUGCUGAACGGAAAGCAAAUACCUAAAAUGACCAGUCGGGUCGUUACAUUCUCCCCCACUUAAACCUACUUUCGUCCUCGAACAUUCCAAGAGUUGUUCCUAAGCCGUCAAAUUACCGUGUAACCUUACCAUGAAUAUACCCCGGGGUGAUCCCAUGUCACCCUAUUCCAUAUAGGCCCGACAACACAACAUAACUGAAGAUCAUUACUUCAACCUUAGCCCGUAAACCUAAAAAUUGAAUUUGUAACAUCAGAAAUUUCCUGCAAGACCCGAAUCUCACAUUUACACACUGUAUAAGUUUGAACAAGCUAUAUCGAGCCAUAUUCAUAGCCCAAGAUGUAAUCACAUGAUAUACCACAUAACUCAAAUACUUAUAGCAAUAACUUCCGACCACAAUAGUUGCUCAAAACACACACGGUAUCGGUAAUAAACCUCAUAUCAAACAAAACCUCGUUCCAAAAACUUUGUAUAGUGUCGAUGAUGAAAGAAACACACAGAAACUCAUAACCACUAAUCAGAUCAACAAGUCAUGGAGCUCUCUCGCCUAACCAGAACGAUAGCCCAAAUUCUAAGUUGACUUCUAAUAUUACUCUUCCAAACACACCGUAAUCAAAUUUGAUAGCAAUCACCUCAGGCCCAAAGACUUAAUCUCAUCAAAUACAAGUUAAUCUACUGACACGCCACACCAAUACUACCUAGAAUCACAAAAUGUGCAAUUCGUGCACCAACAAGCAAAAAUUCAAAUGCUCUCAAAAAUGAAAAAAUGACUCAAAUGAGAUAACCCAUUCGCAGGUUCAACAAGUACCACCACAACACAAUGCUAAGAACCCAUCACGCACACUAGAACCAAAACACAUGAAUCUACCAUAAAGGAUCAUACCCCUCAUAGCUCAGUUGCAAUACGUGACCCAUCCAAACACCGAUCCAUAUGAAAUACCUCGAGCCUCAAUGUUCAACAUCAUCAACCAUAAGCAAUUCGACACCGAGUACACAAGUGCAUGACCAUAACCUCGAAGAAGCAAAUAACACAAUAUACCACAACCCGAAAAGACCAUAACCAAGGCGCAAUUAACUAUUCCACACCCCAAUCACCAUCUCGCUUGAAUUCCGCUACAAGUCCCAAACAGAACCGCACCAUGUGUGCACAUCACCCACAAAUCUCACCCCUCGUAGCAUAGAAGAGGAACACGUAGUACAUAUCAGAACAUGAACAAGCUCAACUCUAACCAAAUGAUUCACCCAACAGUAACUGUGCCGAGUCAACAAAUCCAACCCGAUGUAGAAUACACAUCCUCAUUGGUCCUACUAAUGCGCCCCCAAAUCAACCAUGGUCAUCCACAAAUAGAUAAAUAAUUCUCCGAAAGUCCACAAUGACAUAGCCAUAACAUAUAUUAUCAUCUGACCAGCUUUGACCACAUCUUCACAGUACACAACCAUGAAACGAUCUGCUUCUAAGAACUCCCAAUCUCCAAAUCCAUAGAACACACAAAUCACCAUAUCUGAUCCCAACUCCACUGCCCGAAUGUCUAGCACAUCUCUCAUACACGAUCAUACCACAAGGAAUACUUCUAUAAUUCUUCUAUGUCAUAUAGCAAAAAAAUUCGAAUAUCAACAGUCGAUCAAAUAGAUGAGUACUGCGAUAGCAAUGAAGCAUCAGUAAGUCAACACUCAGUGCACCUUCUGAAAUAUACACUCUCCUUAGGAAAUACCAAGUAGUAAUAUCAUUCAUCUAGUCAUCUGAAACCGUCCAUGUUGCCUUAGAAUUCAUGACCUUCCAUUCAAAACUUAACCGUGACCUUGCACGUGCAAAUCUCAAUCCCACACAACACACCGCAUCUAUCAUGCCAUAAUAUGAAAAGUACAAGAAUCUCAUAAUCAACUCUAAAUCACAAGCAGAAUAAGUACUCAAUUAGCCAGGAGCCUUUCACUUGAUCCGAUCCAGGAGAAAAUCAUAAUACGUAACAUGCUUUUCAUGCCAGUAGGAAAUAUCUAUCUCAAACCGUGGUAGAAACCAUUGAGAACUCUUCGAAACCCAUUUGCGCAUAACCAAGCAAUCAAAACUGAAUCUCUCUAACUUAACUAAGCCACACAGGUCGCCAAACCCAAGAGUAUUGCCGCAAAACACCGGUAGAAACUCACCACCUUAUAAGUACCCAAAGAACCGAUCAUAUCCAUUACCGUGUUGAUCCAACCUACUACCAAGCUGUCAUAUUUCUCUGAAUUCCUUCCGAAUUAACCUUAAGGUGACACUUUUCCUUGCCAAAACAUUACGAUCUUUACCCAAAGCUCACCACAAGAUAUCCUAGCAUAAAACCACACUGCCCUAAGGCCCACAAGCCACUGUAUUCCCUCUUAAGCACCCCAAAAGUACCACAACCGAGACAUCCACUCUAAAGAGACCUUCUAUGAAUCUAAAGUCGUUUUCUUCACCUUCCUAAUACUGAAUGUAUAAUCCAUAAUGAUAUAGAAAUAUCGCGAGUCUCGACACUAUCUAAUGCAAAUCUCAAAUUCUAGACAUAUACAAAUUCGAAAAAAUUCUCAAUUGCCACAUAUAAAUGUUGAACCUAUUAGAACCUUCUCAAGAGUCAUCCACUCCGCUCAAAUCUCAAUUGCACCACCCCAACGGGCCGAACGACAUGUGCCCCAUCAGCGCGACAACACCCAAAGAAGUAAUCCACACCUCUAAGCAACCGAGUGAUUCCCUUUUCUUAGUAUAUCACAUCUACCACGAACAACCCGAAUCAUUCCAAGAUUACUAUAUAUCCAUAAUGUGUAGCAGACCAUGCAUCCAGAAAUUUUCUUGCUUAAGUCAUCCUCAAAACUAGUCUCUGUAAGUCAUAACCGAUCCACAAGUAUGCCUCAAAUCGAAACCAGUACAACAUAUAACCAUGUAACCAAAGUAUCGAUAGUAGACUCCCUCACUUGGCUCAAAGCCAUAUAACAAAACACUCGAUGACUCAUAAUACCCAUAUUCUACUACCUGUAUGAUCCCGCAUCGAAAUUCAACUCAAUCCUUCAUAAGCUCAUGUAACACAAAUCAUAUAGUACUUCAAAUCAUCAUCUAAGCUCGCAUUCAUUCUCAUGAUGUCCAGGUCAACUAUUACAACUAAUCCAAACUCAAAUCGCACAAAUAUCGCCCACUAAUAGGAAAGAAAGCCUCCACACAACAUCAUAAGGAUCACACAUCCGUAGGUUACCCCGUAGGUGAUAACCCACCUGCUUAGUCUCAAACUGACAUCUCUCUAUACCCUUUCCCAACCACGACUAAUACGGGUCCCUUAAUCUUCCCGAGUUUGAACUCAUCAACAAGACAUGAAAAUCUACUUCGUUCUAUAAUUAAGAAACAUAAAAGAUCCUUCGAUACACUCAUAACUCGAGACUAUACGUCACCUCAAGAUAGAAAUCAAGCACUCAAUAAUCCUUUUUAUAUCUCAAGAAAAUUCUUCUUGUCACAUUCAAACUAUUUGAACACAUCCCGUGGUCACAUAAUACUCAUCAUAUAGCCAUACAUCCACUCAUCGAGCCACAAAUUCCACUAAUAGGGACACUGCCGGACUUAUAAGUCCAAAAGCACAUGCUUACACAAUCGAAAUCCCCGUGCUCCAGCUACAGUCAAAACCUGACAUCAAGUCCUCUAGACUGGCCCAUCCCAGAAACUAAAAAUCAUAUCACGCACCUCAUCCAUGGAAUCAUAAACCGUCGAUGCACAGCUAAUACCAAGCGCUCAUAUGCACAUACGAGUGCGUGGAAGGAAUACAAAGAGAUACGCUUCAAGCUAAAUCAAUGCAGCACUAAGGAAAGAAAAAUGGGAAGUUUAUCCUAAAUGCCAUGUAGCCUCUCGAAGAUAGGUAUGGACAUCAUCAUACCGAUCCGCAAGACUCUACUAGACACUUGCUUAUGACUUAUAGAACUUAUGAACCUAGAGCUCUGAUACCAACUUGUCACGACCCAAAAUCUAACUAGCCGUAAUGACACCUAACCCAACCUGCUAGGUAAGCCAAUUAAUAAUAAACCAAUUCCAAUGAAAUUUGAUGAGACAAUAAUGAUGAAAUAACUGAGCUUUUAUACAAAAUCCCAAGUUCUGGUGGUACAAAUUAUGAGCUUCUAAGAUUUACAAUAUACAAAGCUGGUGUGAAAUAAAUACAUCAUCUGUUUGAAAUAUACAUAAACAGAUUAAUAAUCUAAAGGUACCAAGAAAAAUAGGCAGUAAUGACCGAAACGCAGGUACGUCUUCAAUGCCAGCUUCCGCCAUACACAGCAACAUUAGCAUAAAAAAUCUGCACGCAAGGUGCAAAAAUGUAGUAUGAUUACAACCGACCACAUGUACUCAAUAAGUAACAAAUCUAACCUCAGGUUGAAAGUUGUGACGAGUUGGGACAAAGUUUGAAGUACAACACCAAUAGCCAACAACAAUUCAUAACAAUAUAAUAAAAGUGAUAAAAGAAGUAACUCAGAGAUGUGAUUCUCAGCGUUUUAACAGUUACGAAAAAUAGUCAUGCUUUUAAGGAAUAACAGUAAAACCCACCAAAAUCACAAAAAUAUGAGUAAGUCAGAAACCUUUAAUUUUUUCCCAAAAACUUUAAACAACAAAUAAGAUGUUUCAUUAUUAGAGAGCAUGAGGAAAGUACUUCUCUAUGACUACAUAGCAGCGUGCACGUGAAAUCAUGAAUGUCAAGUAUGCAAAAUGCAAUGCAUCAUAGUGAUGAACUCAUGUACUCACACUCUCAGAGUACUCAAUCUCACUAUCUCCCACUUUCCACUCAUCACGCUCAAUCACCCAACACACUCAGUCACUCAGCACUUAACAGGGCAGAUCCAGCCCCCAACACUCUUAGUCACUCAGCACUGUACAAGGCAGAUCCAACCAAAACUAAUCAAUAUCAACUGUGCUCACUCUAGCUGUGCGGACUCUGGAGGGGCAGAUCCAGCCCAAGCGCUAUAAUAAGCCCAUCAUGGCAUGAAUCAAUAAUACCUGCUACAGAGUGCAACCAGAUCCCAUCAUGAAUCAAUAAUACCUGCUACAACGUGCAGCCUGAUCCCAUCAAUAUCACUCACAAUUCGGCUCUCAGGCCUCAACUUAGUCAUCAAUCUCUCCGGUCUUUCGGGCUCACAAUGUCAUGAAAAUCAGCCCAAAAAUGAUGAUAUGAUGUAUCAAUAAAUGGCAACAGAGACUGAGAUAGGAUAUGCAAAUGAAUGUGUAUGACUGAGUAUGUAAUUGCAAUGAAUACAAAUAACUCAACAUCAUAAAUGACCUUAGUGGGUCCCAACAGGAUAAGCAUAUAGCCUAGACAUGGUUUCUAACAUGGAUCACAGUUCAAUUACUCUAGCACGUAGAAAUUUCAUGAAUAGAAACAGAAUCAGGUCACUACAUAGUACCACCGAAUCAAUCGAUACAUAAUUCACACGGUGCAUGCCCACAUGCCCAUCACCUAACAUGUGUGUCACCUCAACACCAAAUACAUAACACUUAUAUUCAAGGGAUUAUACCCUCAGCACCAAGUUUAGAAGUGUUAGUUACCUCAAACAAGCCAAAUCCAAUACCGAGCAAGCCAAACGAUGCUCCAGAAAUGCCAUCCUUCGCGUACCGACCUCUGAACAGCUCAAAACUAGCAAAAAUCAACUCAAAUACAUCAAAUAAUGCCUAAAAAUAAUUCUAAAUGAUAAAUGUCGAAUCUUUAAUCAAAACCCCUAAGUCAACCAAAAAGUUAAAUCCUGGCCCGCACCUUAGAACCCAAGAAAACUCACAAAAUCCGACAACCCAUUCAAUGACGAGUCCAACAAUACUAGUUUCACUCAAAUCCGACUCUAAAUCGAUGCUCAAAACUCGAAAAUUCACUUUAUGAAAUUUUAGACAAAACCUCCCAAUUUCUCUUUAAAAUUCAUAAUCCAAUUACCAGAAACGAAGAUAGAUUCACGAAAUAUAAUCAAAAUCGAGUAUAGAACACUUACCCCAAUCCUUGUGAUAAAAUUUUCCUCCAAAAUCGCUCAAAUGCGAGCUCCCCAACUCAAAAUGCGAAUAAAAUAGCGAAGCCCUCGAUAUAUAGCUUCUGCCUAGGCAUCGUCGCAUCAGCGACUUACUUAGCCACUUCUGCAGCGUCGCUUUUGCAACAAAAACUCGCUUCUGCGAAAAACCACUGAAACUCUCCCAUCACACAUGCGGAAAAUUCCCCGCUUCUGCGUAUAUUUAGGUGCGACAACAGCUCCCGCUUCUACGCAACACUUCACUUCUACAUUCAAACUCACUACAUCUGCAAUUCCAUAGAUGCGCCCAAAAUGCCGUUUUUGCGCAAAUAGUCCCCCAUAGACUACUUUGCCUAUUCGACCAAAUUGCUACAUCUAUGGGCUCGCAUCUGCGACCAACCCUCCGCAGAUGCGGACACACCAGAACCAGAACCUCCAGCCAAGCCAACUUGAUCCAAAAUGAUCUGAACCUCAUUCGAAACACACCCGAACCCCUCGGGACCCCGUCCAAAUAUCCCAUCAAGUCCCAUAACAUAACAAACCCAUUCGAGGCCUUAAAUCAGGCAUAACAAUAUCAAAACGAUGAAUCGCAACUCAAAUCAAACUUCAUGAACUUUCAACUUCCAAAACGCGCGCUGAAACAUAUCAAAUCAACUCCGAGUGAAAUCAAAUUUUCCACACAAGUCCCAAAUGAAAUAACUAAGCUAUUCUAAUUCCUAAAACCACAAUCCAAACCCGAUUUCAUGAAAGUCAACUCCCAGUCAAACUUACAAACUUUCCAAACCUUUAAAUAUCCAAUAUCGCCAAAUAGUGUUGAAACCUUCUAGAAAUAUCCAAAUGCAAAUCUGAAAAUACGCCCGUCCAAAUCGCCAUCCAGAACUAACAGAACCAUGAAAACUCCUAACUGAGGUCAAAUACUAAAAAGUCAAUCUUGGUCAAUUAGUCCAACUUAAAGCUUCAAUCAUGAAAUUUAUUCUUCCAAUCACUUCCGAAUCACCUGAACGCCAAAACCGACGAUUCACACAAGUUAUAAUACAUCAUACAAUGUUGUUGAAGACUUCAAAUAGUUGAACGGAAUGCAAAUACUCAAAAUGACAAGUCGGGUCGUUACAAUUAUGUCACUACCUAAAAUCCAUUUAGUUGUGAUAAUAUCUAACCUUUCUCGUUAGAUAUGAGAAACAACAGUCACCACAACUCUAAUGUAAAUAAUAAGAAAUCAAUAAGUGAAAUAACUGAAUUUCCAUACAAUAACCUAAGGAUUGGUAGUACGAGUCAUAAGUAGCUAAGAUUUAGAUUUGCUAAGCUAAUAUGAAAAUAAAUACAACAUCUGUUUGAAAUAUACAUAAACAGAUUAGAAAUCUAAAACUACCAAAGACAAGUGGUAGCUAUAUCCAGAAAAGCGGGUACAUCUUCAAUGCUAGCUUCCGCCAUCCACAGCAACUAAGCUUUAAGAUCUGAACGCAAGGUUUAGAAGUAUAUAUACGAGUACAACCGAAUACAUUUACUUAGCAAGUAUCUUAACUAACCUCGAGGAGGUAAUAAAAGCAAGAAUUAUAAAUGAUACUUGCUAAUCACCUGUACAACUCAUAAUUUCAACAAGUACAUAACAGUAAUACAAUCAAAUGAUGAAUCACAAAUAAAACCACCUUAGUGUUGUCGCGCCCCCUUUUUUCCCCCUUCCAACGGAGAGGAGUUUCCUGGUUUCGACAUUCAUGGGGGUGUAAUGACUCAUUUCCUUUUGGGNNNNNNNNNNNNNNNNNNNNGGACACCCAUAGAGUUAUUUUGCAACUAUGUUUGAUAACCAGAGAUUGGGUAAGGACUUGAAAUUAUCCUAAGGGGAAGGUGUUAGGCACCCUUCAGGAUCCACUAGUGUGGUUCCCGGCCAGACAAUUUUUUUAUGAAUUUAUGCAAUUAGCAAGUAAUCAAAUAAAAGGUUCAAGUAAUAGGGGAAUUAAGUUAAACACACAAGUGUUUGAAAACACUUAUUGAAAGGCAAGGUUUGAAAGAGUUAUAAGCUAAACAUGCUUGUAAAAAUAAAGGGGGUCCUAGGUUUGUUUGUAAUAUGGAUCACCUCAAUGCAAUACCUGGUAUGAUACUCCUCAGAAGAGGGGAUACACGUGAUAUUAGUGCACCGGUCAUCAUAUCCAUAUCUACCCUUCCCACCUCGUUAAGGUAUUAAAGCACGGAUUGUCUCGACCUCUAUUGCAUGCUAUUACACGUCCCAUUCCUAUCAGUCCCGGAGGAAUUUAGGACUACUAUUCCUAUAAGAGGGAGGAUUUUAGGCUGACUCUUAGGUUUAAAGGUAAAAAAACCUAAGGCGACAUACAAAAUACGUAGGACUGCAUUUUGAGGGGAACAUAUAAACAAUUAGAUGGCUCAUAUAUACCUCCACAAAUAAUUCAUAUAAAGAGCAUGACUUAAAUACAGUUAAGGUCUGAAUUUUAAAAUCCUAAAACAGAGUUUGAAUUAGAACCAGAUUCAUUGUAUAACUCAGAAAAGAAGUCUGAAUCAGGUCUGCCUGCUGGUUGUAGCGGUUGGUAAUUUAACAAAGGUGGUUCCAGUUUUAUUUAAACAGUUACCUAAGGCUUGCCUAGGUAUAAUAGUGAUGUCCUAUGAGCAUAAUAUCUAUACUGAUUAAGAAUACAGUAGAGCAGUGAUUAAUUUUAAAUAGGUGAUCUGGAUCCUAUAGGCAUGCUUUCUAAUGAUAUUGAUUAAUACGAAAAGAGUAUGUUAUUUAAUCUGAUUCAGACAGGCACGAGUCAAACUGAUUUUUAACUAAACUAGUUUUAGACCUUAUAUGCAUGAUUUCUAUUACAGCUUAUUUUAAAUCUUAUAGGCAUGUUAUCUAAUUAUUAAAAGCUGACUUUGGACUUAUAGGCAUGAUCUCUAAGGGAAAUGAAUCUGGAUACAUGUAAUGAAAAAUUGGACUUCAAUUACUUUACAUCCUAUAGGCAUGAUAUCUAAGCGGAUUUUUAACCCUAUAGGCAUGAUCUCUACUGUUAAAGCCAUUUAGACCCUAUAGAUAUGGUUUCUAAUUGUGAAAUGUAAAGCAUGCAGAAUUUAUUUUAAACCAAAGAAGAUCCUAUAGGCAUGUUUUCUAACAGACCAUAUUUGGAAUCAACAUAGACCUUAUAGGCAUGUUAUCUACCCAAUUUACCCCCAAGAUACAACUACCCAACCUUUUACACUAAUCACCCCAUAAUUGCUUACAAAUUAUUAUAGACCCAAUGAUUGAAUUACAAAAGAAGUGAAGAAAUAAGAAAUUACAACCAAAGGAAGCUUGAUAUUGACUUUCUCUCCGAGUUAUGUAAUGAACCACGCUAAUGCCAGAAUUUCAAAGCCUUUUCUCAUACCUAGGUGUGUCAGAGUUCCCUAAGGACCUCAAGGGAUCCCGGGCAGUGCUCACACCCAGAUUUACAUAACCAAUAGAAUGAGUGCAGUGUGGAAGGGAUAACUCUUAUGUGUCCAAGUUGAGAGGGAGCUGAAGGGUCCCAAGGUAAGGCUCACACAAGAGGGGCAGAACCUAGAUUCUAAGAAUAUAGUGGAAGUGCAGAACAUAGUUUGAAAAGAGAUUUAUUUUUAAAAGCUGGAUUGACAGUUCAUUUUGAAAGCAAUUAGUGAUAGAGGUGAUUUAAAUCAGUAGUAGUAAAACUCAAAACUACACAGAAUCAGCAGUCAUUCAAAAGGGUCAAGGGAUUUUGGGGAUACAUUUUCCUGUAAGCACAUGAACCCAACAUGGGUCUAGUUUGGUCAUGCACAACAAUAGUUGAUGCUGGCAUAUCCACAAACCAGUCAAAGGAACACAAACACAUAGAGGGGAUAUGGGGGUUUGGGGUUCAUAAGACAGAGUAUGCUAUAAAACACACAUAGGGGAAGCAUUAAUCUAAGGGGAAAAGAAACAUAUUACAGCAUGCUAAUAAUGUAACUUGACUACAGAAACAUGAGCAGAAGUAUGCAAGAGUGAAAGAAACUGAAGCAACUAAAGAAGCAUGUUGUUGUUGGGGCUUAAAAAUUAACUAGGACAUACCAGUAGAGAAGCAAAGUGCAGAAAGGUAAAGCAAGCAAGAUUCCACAGUCUAGCCUUGGCUUUCCGCUGGCUAGACAAAGCAAUAACACAAGCAGUAGUAAAGAAGGAGAUAGUUUUUGAGUGUAAGUGUGUGUUCUGAACUCAAAUUGUUCAUUUUUUUGAAAGAAGAGGGGAGUAGGGUAUUUAUAGUUUUGAAAACGAGUGAAGAAUAAGGUAAUAAGUAAAGUCUUGAUACAGACAUGGAAAUAAUCACAAUCAUAAUCAAUUAACACAAGUGAUUCCCUUUAAUUAAGGAAUCACUGCUUAACGGAUACUAACAAGGUUAAUUAAGGAAAGAAAUCAGUUUGCAACAGAUUGAUUAUUGCCAUAUAAGGGGGCAGUAAAUGUAUGAAGUAAAUGAUUGAGUCUAAGUACAAAAAUAUGCUUAAUUUUGGGAAAGAAUUCAGCAAAGUCAAACAUCACAGUAAAGGAAAGGAAUCAAUUAGUUUUAAACAAAUGAUUGAAAAUUAGGGUUCAUAAGAAAACUUUUUGCAAUCAGUCGCAAUAUUGAGGGAAUCAGAAUCAAUCAAGAAAGAGUCAUGAUUCUGCACCUUGACAUAUAAAUAGAACGAACAAAAAUAUCAGGCAUGCGAGGCCAUUGGCAAAAGAAAUAACUGGAUGCAUACAAACAUGCAGCAAUAACAAGAGUAAGCUAAGACCCAGUAGUCGACAAGGUCAAAUAGUCAUGGCUGACACGUAGAGCCAAAGUGAAGAAGAAAAGUCAAAAACAAGUAAAGGUCUCAUAGUAACAAGUGAAGAAAACCUUUUAAGAAAUUAGGGUUUCAACAAUAGUCGAGUUUAAGAGAUGAUAAGAACUCAGAAUCAGAUAAGUCACAUAAAGAAAAGAGAGUCAGAAACAAAGAACUUAAUCGAACAAGUAUACAUUCAAACAAACAGUUUUAGAACUCGGAUAAGACCUAAAAGACCUAGGGUUUUCAACAUGCUGAUUCUGGUAGAAGGAAAGCAUAAACAAGUCGUUUGAGCAUAGUAAAAUCAUAAACAACAUUAAAAUUAGAGAAAAAAUUUAAGAGAAAACCCUAAUCGUUGAAAGCGAAGAGUCACUUUGAAAGAAAAUCGGAGAACCUUUGAGAAAAUGCUUAAGAAGUUCAUAAUAUGCACAAAUCUAGGAUAGAUCUGAAGAAAAUUGAAAGAUCUUAAAGGUUAGGGUUUCGGAGAACCCAAAAAAAGUGAGAAAGACUUUGAAAGUUACCCAUCUAGCCAGAAAGGUCAAAGAUCUGACUUGAACGGCCAUGGAUGACCAGAGAGAGGCCAGAGAUGAUCGGAGAAAGGCCAUGAAUGGAACUUGAGCAAGGAUUGGACUAGAUUUCUUCGAGACCUGUCCAUGAAAUCACAUGAACGAGCCACCAGAAGAUUUAGGAGGCUAGUAUACAUCUCAAACGGCCAUGGGAGACCAUGGAUUAGGUGGGGAUUGAGGUGGAUUAGGGUGAAAUGGGGUGGCGGCGGCUAGGGUUUAUGUGAGGCUGCAGAGAGAAUUGAGAGUAGAAGGGAUUCAAGGGCGGCGAGUGGUGGAAAAUGAAUUAGGGUAAGGGGUCGUUUAGGUUUUAUUUUAGGAAGGGUGAACGGUGGCCAUUGAUCUGAAUGAUCAACGGCUUGGAUUAAACGGGUAGGUAGGGAUCCGGGCUUGGGUUGAGUUUAAAAUUGGGCUAGGGUCAGAUUUAAUUGAAAUUGGGUCGGGAAAAUUGGGUUUGAUUUGGGGUCCAAUUUAGGCUAAAAUUUAAAUACAAAUGGGCUAUUAUUUAAAUAGCCAAUUUUCCCCCUUUUAAAUUAUAAAAAAUAGUAAGUAAACUUCUGAAAAUAAAUUGAAAGCACUGAAAUGAUUUAUAACACAAAAAUAACAAUUUAAAAAAUAUAGGGCCUAAUUUUAAUAAUAUAAAACACAAUUAAACCUUAAAAUGGCUAAUAUUGUAAUUAUAUACAAUUUGCUUUAAAAAAAUAUCAAAUAAAAUUGUAAAAAUUACCUUAGCCAUAUCUUGGCAUAAAUAUAAAGAUCCAAUAAAUGAAUCAUCAGAAAUAAUAAUUUUGGACAUAAUGAUUGGGAUUAUAUGGAUAAAAGAGGACAAUAAAUCAACUUAAACCUUUGAAAAUUAUGGAAAAAUAAUAAAAUACUUAGACAUGCUUAUAUAUUCUAUUUGAAAGUAUUUUGCAUAUUGAAAAAUAUAUAGAAAAAAAUUGGGUAUCAACAGGUGUACAAAAUAACUUAACAUACUCUGCCCAAUCAACAAUCCAGCAUAUAAAGAAGAUAUUCACAAAGGCAUGUAUAUAACUUGGUGCUAGCAAAUAGAGGAGACUUGCAGCAAAAUCAUGUAUACAUCCAAAAAAAAUUGCAAAUAGAGAAGAAAUGCAACAACCAAAUACCAAUUCAUUGUGGCGCGUAAGCUGAUCCAAAUAGAAAUCACAAUAUGGCUUUAAGGCCCACAUCAGAAUUUCAAUAAUCGAACCAAAACACUGAUCGACUUUCCCAAAGCCCACAUCAAUCAAAAACUCAUCGAUUACUCACAAUCCGUGUGUACACUAUCAAGAAGGCACAUGAGAGGGUGACCCUAGGGGGAUAGAUCCAUAUCCACACGCUACACGGCGUAGUCAUAUGUAAUCUGAUCGGCAUUGUCAUAGACUCAAAAUCACAAUCCGCCUAGCGUGGCCACAGGAUCAACAUCACAAUUUGCCCGGCGUGGUCACAAUCUCAAUAUAAAAAAUGCCCGACAUUGUCACUGACUCAAUAUCACAAUCCUCCCGGCAUAGUCACAGGCUACCAGUCCAAUCCAUAUCGCACAAAAAGCAGAUAUACAACAAUACAUGUACAUGAUUAAUGAACAUCUACUUUUAUACUCUUGGACUAGUAUAAGUGACAUGCUAAGGUGUAUGCAUGUGAAAUGUCUGCUAUCAUAGCUCAAAUCAGGCAAAUAUAUUACGAAAGUAGCAAUUAUCAGGUUUAAUCAGGUAUAACGACCCGACCGGUCAUUUCAUGAGUUACCACUCUGUUUCCCCCAUUUCUGCUUCUUAUUGCCUUGUUCAGCAGUAUUACGUGUUAUCGGAUUGGUUGGCUCGUGUUUGGAAAGGUUUUGGUGAGGUUUGAGACACUUAGUCUCUUUUGAGUAAGCUUAAGUUGGAAAAAAUCAACCUGCUAUUGAUUUGUAAGAAAAGGGCUCGAAUGUGAAUUUCGAUUAUUUGGAUAGUUUCGGGAGAUGAUUUGGGACUUAGGAGUGUGAUCGGAACGUGUUUUGGAAGUUCAUAGUAGGUUUAGGCUUGAAUUGGCGAAAAUGGUAUUUUGGCAUUUUCCGGUUGAUAGGUGAGAUUUUGAUAUAUUGGUCAGAAUGUAAUUUCGGGAGUUGCAGUUGGUCUGCCGUGUCAUUUGGGAUGUGUGUGCAAAAUUUCAGGUCGUUCGGAUGUGGUUUGAUAGACUUUUGAUCAAAAGUGAAAUUCGAAAGAUUUUGGAACCUUAGGCUUGAAUUCGAUGUGAUUUGGUUGAUUCGAUAUUGUUUGAGGUGUUUUGAAGAUUGGUAUAAGUUUGGAUAGUAGUAUAUGUCUUGUUUGUGCUUUUGGUUGAGGUACCGGGGGCCUCGGGGUGAUUUCGAAAGGUUGACGGAAAGUUAGGAGUUGGGAGUGUGCAGCUGAAGUUUUAGGACUGCCGUCAUAACCACAUCUGCGGUUGGGAGGUCGCAGGUGCGAUCCCCGCAGAUGCAGAAGCAAGUCGCAGAAGCGGCCAAGGAGGGUAUCAGCUGAACCGCAGAAGCGGCUAAGGAAGCGCACCUGUGCUAUGAUGUGAUCGCAGAUGCAGGACUUGGACUUUAAGUGAAAACCGCAGAUGCGGUGGUUUGGACCGCAGAAGCAGUAGCAUAGAAGCGGAAUUUGGACCACAGGUGAGAAAAGCCUAGGCCAAAAAGUAUAAAAGGUUUCCUUCGUGAUUUUUGAGCUAUUCUUCACCAUUUUCAUUCGGGUUUGAGCUUGAGGGAGCUAUUUUGAAGAGGGAUUCAAGGGAUAACACUUGGAGGUAAGAUUUUUGAACCUAAUAAUCGAUCCUAUGGAAUUAUUUCACUUUGGCUUGAGAUUAAUGGAAAUUAAGGGUUAAAAAUUGGGGAUUAGGGCUUGAUAUUGGAGACCUUGACUUGGGGAUUUGAGGGGCCAUUUGUGGUCGGAUUUUUGUACUUUUGAUAUGAAUGAACUCGUGGGGAGAUAAGGAGUUGAUUGAUAUAAAUUUUAUCGAAUUCUGAGAAUUGGGCCCGGGGGUCGGGUUUGGUUAAUUUCGGGAUUUGCAUUGUAUUUUGAUUUCUUUCGAGUGGGCUUUGUUCCCUUAGCAUAUUUUGAUAGUUAUGUACUGAUUUUGGUUAGAUUUGGAGCAUCUGGAGGCCUAUUCGAGAGGCAAAGGCAUUGCGGGCUAGAGUUUUGACCGGAUAGAGGUGAGUAAUGAUUGUAAAUGUUGUCCUGAAGGUAUGAAACCCCAGAUUUCACAUCACUGUGCUAUUUUGAGGUGACGCACACACUAGAUAACAAGCGUGAGGUCGUGCACCAUUGGGGAUUGUGACUUAGUCCAUCCCGUAUAACUGUUUAACCAUGUAUUUGAUUGAAAACUAUUUGUUAUCAUCAUGUUUUGGGCUGAAUACCAUAUUUGGGCCUCGUGCCAACUAUUUUGGACCCUUAGGGGAUUUUUACUACUAUUCCUCACUGUUUGACUUUAUACUCGUACUCAGUCAUGUUAUAUUCUAAUGUUUCCAUAACUCAGCCAUUUUACUCUGUUUUUGACAUCUUAAAUGAUAUUUUGUGUUGAGCAUCAUAUUUUACUAUGCUCGAGUGGCUUUUAGAGACUUCUGAUUGAGUAGGGCCGAUGGCCUGUGCUAUGAGGUUAUUAUAGGAUCGGGCUAUGUGCCGCAGUGGUAUUGUGUUGAUUUAUGUUUAUAAGGCCAAGGGCCUGAGUUGUACGCCACGAGGUGGCUUGAUAUGAGGUCGAGAGCCUAUUAAUUAUGCCACGAGAUGGCUUGAUAUUGUGCUUGGCCGUAAGGGGCCCCUCCCGGAGUCUGUACACCCCCAGUGAGCGCGGGUACCCAGUGUGAGAUGUGAUAUAGCCCGAGGGGAUGAUGUUGUUCCAUGUUAUUGCCCGAGGGGCUGAUACGAGUGAUUGUGAGAUAGCCCGAGGGGCUGAUUCUGUUGGUAUUUUGCCCGAGGGGCUAGUUUUAUGUGUUUACCUUUCUCACUGCUUUUCAUUCACUCGUUUAACUAUUAAAAGAUGUUUUAAAGAAGUUUAUACUGAACUAAGGUGUUUUUAUAAGAUUUCACUAUUUUAUUACAUUGUAUUGGUUUUACAUUGUCUCUUUGUAGCAUUUUGUUGUGCACUUCAUGUUUUCUUAUCGCUUAACCUUCAUUUAUUUUUAUUACUCACUGAGUUGGCAUACACACAUUACUCCCCGCAUCAUGUGUGCAGAUUCAGGAGCUUCGGGCCCUGCUAGCGAGGGUUGAUUGCUCGCAGCAGACUGUGCAGAGUUCACUAGGUAGCUGCUCGAUGUUCGCAGCCCAGUGCUUCUCCUUCCUAUCUUCAUUUUCAUUUGUACUGGAUUUUGUAGUAGACUAUGUAGACUCUUCCUACUUUCAGAUAGUUGUUUAGAUGCUCAUGACUGGUGACACCCCGAUGUCGGGCUGUGUUUGUUUUCCCAAAUUGUACUAUUUUACUAUUCUUUUGGGAUUUAAUCAUGUUAAUGACUUAAAUUGAAUUAUUAUAACUGUUUAACUGGAUUGGGAGUUUGUGUCGGCUGGACUUGUUUUACGAUAGGCGCUAUCACGACCGGGUCUGGGUUUAGGGUCGUGACAUCAGGAGAUUAACCUCUAUGUAAUCUCAAACAUGGCUCAAAUAGCUCACAACAUAGGUACAAAUAUAAGAACCAUCACAACAUUAAGCUUAGCAACCAUUAAAGGCAUAUCAUAGCCUAAGCAUAACUCCGAGCAUGAAUAAUACCUCAAUGCACGCACAUGGGUUUAACCCCACACGUAUGUGCCACCCAUAGCACGUAGCUAUCACAAAUAACUCGUGUAACUUGUGCCCCAACAAAGUUUAGGUAAGAUACUUAUCUAAAACAAGCUAAAUUGAUACUCUAAAAGCACCAUCCCGCACAAAUCAACCUUAGAACGGCUCGAAACUAGCUAAAUAUAACUCAUAAAUAUUAAAUAAUACCAUAGGAAAUAAACCUAAACGAUAAAGGUCGAAUCUUGAAUCAAAUACUCAAAGUCAACCAAAAAGCCAGCAUUGGCCCGCACCUCGGAACCCGAUAAAACUCACAAAUUCUAACAACCCAUUUGAAUACAAGUCCAACCAUACUAAUUUCAUCUAAUUCCGACUCCGAAUUGAUGUUCAAAACACAAUUAUUUACUUUAAAAAGGUUUUGACAAAACCCCCUAAUUUCUCUUUUAGAUUCAUCAAUCAAAUACCAAAAUCUAAGAUUGAAUCAUGAAUAAUAAUUAAUACCGAGUCAAGAACACUUACCUCAAUCCAAAUGGUGAAAAUCCUCUUCAAAAUCGCCCAAAUCCAAGCUCCAGAUCUCAAAUUAUGAUAAAAUAAACUCAAAGUGCGAAAUAAUAUCUUAUACUUCUUCUUCAGGUGUACCCUUCGCAAUCGCGAGACCCAGUUGCGAUCGCGAAUCACUAAAUGAACACUACCAGAAAAUAUACUAUGCAUUCGCGGGCCCAGGCCCGCAAUCGCGCACAACUCAGCCAACCCUCUAUGAUCGCGAUAUAUACCACGCGAUCGCGAAAGCAACAUCACCAGCUCCCAGCUCCUCUUCGCGAAUGUGGCUGACUUCACUCGAAUGUGAAGAACAAUCUCCUCCAGUCCAAUUGCCUUAUCUGUGUACGUGAUGGCUCCCACGUGAACGCGAUUAACAACCAACCCAACUGACAAAAUACUCAAUGCAAUUGCGACUAUCCUCCCGCGACCGCGAAGCUCAACUGUAGCAUCAGAAAACCAGUAACUCAUGCAACCUCUGAAAUGGUCUGAAAUUAAUCUGAAACACACCGAGCCCUUCGGGAUCUUGUCCGAAUAUUCCAACAAGUCCCAAAAUAUAAUAAGGACUUACUUGAGGCCUCAAAUCAUACAUAACAACAUCAAAACCACGAAUCGCACCUCAAAUCAAGCUUAAUGAACUAUUUCAAAUUUUCAAAUUCCAAACUUAUGUCGACCACGUCUAAACAACUCGAAAUCACCUCAAAUUUUGCAUACAAAUUUAGAAUGACAUAAUGAACCUAUUCCAACUCCUAUAAUAGCAAUCCAAACCGGAUAACAUCGAAGUCAACUCCAGGUCAAACCUAUAGACUUUCCAAACCUUUAAAUUGCCAACUUUUGUCAAUUAGUGUCAAAAUCUUCUAGAAAUAUCCAAAUACAAAUCCGGGCAGAUUCCCUAGUCCAAAAUCACCAUCUGGAUCUAACGGGACCAUAAAAACUCUGAUCCGAGGUCAAACACAUAAAAAUCAAACUUGUUCAACUCUUCCAACUUAAAGUUUUUAAAUUUAAGAAUCAUUCUUCUAAAUCAAUCAUGAAUCAGUCGAAAACCAAAACCGACCAUACAUACCAGUCAUAACACAUCAUAUGAAAAUACUCAAGAACUCAAACCAUCGAACGGAAUGCAAAUGUUCAAAUUGACCGGUCGGGAUGUUACAUAUUAAAAAGGAGAUGUAUGUACUUAACUAAAUACAUUUUUUAAUAUUUAAUGCAAUUUUUAAAUAUUAUACAGACAAUUGAUGAAGAGAAAAAAUGUUGUUCGAGUAAGAAAAUAUUUAUAUUUUCUAUAUUAUUAUAAAAGCACGAACCCCUAACGCAAGAAACAAUUCUUUACUUUUUGUUCAAGAACUCAAACACAUUAUUUAAUAAUAGCUACGUAAUUGUUAAAAAAAAUUAUACUUAUUAUAUAGGGUAUACGCAUAAAGCGCGUACUCUAAGAUUAAUUAUAUUAAAAGCACGAAUGCCCUUAACGAAAUAUUGUUUAUCUUUUUGACCCUUUGAAAAUAUUAUUCAUACUGAAUAACAUAGUCAUUUGAUUUAUUUUCUAAUAUUUAGAAAUUAACCAUUUAAUUGAUUUAUUAAUAUUUAGAAACAAUUUAGUUAUCUCCUAAGAUUUAAGCAAUCGAAAUCAACUAAAUUGUGUAUACCAAAAUACGACAUAUUCGUCAAAAAAAAGUAUACUUUGACGUCAAAAUUCUACAUAUUACGCAAAAUAUGAUAAUUUUUUAUCCAAUGAAUAUGGAAUUAUCUCGUGAAAAAAUAAUUAGAAGGUAUACACAUUGUAGAAUAACGUACACAAUAAAUAAGAUAUUUUUACUGAGGAAACAAGUAGCAAUUUGAUGAUAGGCUAUAAUAUGUGUAUUUUAGUUGCUUAUUACACUCUAAUUUACUGCACUUUAAUUGAGUUUGAGCUUUAAUCGCUAGUGUUUUGCACUAAAUAUGUGUUUUAUGUCUUGUAGGAGUGAUUCCAAUCUAUGUAGGCGUUAUGGAAGGAAUUCAAGUGAUUUGGAGCUUUGAAGUCUAAGUAAAAGCCCAAGAAAUUAAGUCGGGAUCGUGUUCGGGGAUGAUAGUUAAUGUCACGACCCUCACCCUGAACUCGGUCGUGAUGGCGCCUCUCAUGAAGACAAGGCCAGCCAGUUCAACCCAACUCAAUUUUUAAAGAAGUUAAUCAACAUAAAAAUAGUCUAAACAUGAUUUAAACAAUACUAAAUAACGAAAAUAUCGAUAACAAUGCGAAACGUCCAACCCGACACAGCCCUAAUCGAGGUGUCACAAGUCACGAGCAUCUCUAAACCAUAAUACUAGUCUGCUAAAGUCAUAAACUAUUACAAGUGUUUGAAAGGAAACAAAAAUGAUAGAGAAGUAGAGACACAGGGCUGCGGACGUCAACAACUACCUCGUAGUCUCCGAACAACCGCAUGGAACUGGAGGAAUCAACACUCAGGAGCGAUAUCAGCUACGCCUGAAUCUGCACACAGGGUGUAGGGAGUAAAGUGAAUACUCCAACUCAGUGAGUAACAAAUGUAAAUAACGACUGAAAGUAAGAAAACACGUAAAAUACAAGACAUUCUAUACUAAAGCAGUAAAAAAAUCACUUAAAAUAGUAAAAUAGUGAAGAGUCAAGUAAAAUCCCUUUUCAACAAGUAAAACAAGUAAUUGACAGGUAAAAAAACAAAUAGAAGUUCGCUCCUUGGGCACAGUAUCAACGAAUCCGCCCCUCGGGCAACAUCUCAGAACAGUNNNNNNNNNNNNNNNNNNNNNNNNNNNNNNNNNNNNNNNNNNNNNNNNNNNNNNNNNNNNNNNNNNNNNNNNNNNNNNNNNNNNNNNNNNNNNNNNNNNNNNNNNNNNNNNNNNNNNNNNNNNNNNNNNNNNNNNNNNNNNNNNNNNNNNNNNNNNNNNNNNNNNNNNNNNNNNNNNNNNNNNNNNNNNNNNNNNNNNNNNNNNNNNNNNNNNNNNNNNNNNNNNNNNNNNNNNNNNNNNNNNNNNNNNNNNNNNNNNNNNNNNNNNNNNNNNNNNNNNNNNNNNNNNNNNNNNNNNNNNGGGAGGGGCCCCUUACGGCCCAAGCACAAUAUCAAGCCAUUGUGUGGCAUCAAAUCUAGGCCCUCGGCCUCAUAUCAGUAUCAAUGUAUCCUCACAACUAGGCUCUCGGCCUUACUCAGUCCAAAAAUCAUCACAAGCCCCUCGAGCAAUAGUAAAACAGUAUUUCUCAGCCCAAAACAUCAUUUAAAAAUAUCAUUUAAGUCUUAAAACUGAGUAAAGAUGGUUGAGUAGUAAAACAGUGGAAAAUAACAUGACUGAGUUCAAGUAAUAAGUCAAAACAGUGAGAAAAUAGUAAUAAAAAUCCCCGAAGGGUUCAAAUAAUUGGCACAAAGCCCAAAUAUAGCAAUCAGCCCAAACCAUGAUGACAACAACUAAGUUUCAGUCAAAUACGCGGUAAAAUCAUCAAUCGGGACGGACCAAGUCACAAUCCCCAAUAGUGCACGACCCCACGCUCGUCAUCGAGCGCGUGUCUCACCUUAAUAUAGCACUACGAUAUGAAAAUACAGGGUUUCAAACCCUCAGAGCAUCAUUUACAAUCAUUACUCACUUCGAACCGGCUAAAUCUAUAGCUCGCGAUGCCUUUACCCCUCAAAUUGGCCUCCACGCGCGUCGAAUCUAUCCAAAAUCAGAACGUGGACGUCAAAAUAUACUAAGGGAACAAAGCCCAAGCGAAAACAAUCAAAAUAUGACACAAUCCCGAAAUUACCAAAACCCGAGCCCCAGGCCCACGUCUUGAAAUUGGGUAAAAUUUACAUUUUCAGAAUCCUCAUACCCUCAUGUGCCGACCGCGCUAGUGAGUUCCGAGGCCUGCAACCUUUCUGGACCUGCUACAACUAUGAUUUUCGGCCUAAAACAUCCCGGAACCCCCGGAACUUCAAACCAAUUGUACUAACACAUCCCAUGACAUCGUUCCAACUUGUUCAAAACUUCUGAACGCUCACAACAACAUCAAAUCACCAAUUUAACAUAGGAUACAAGCCUAAGAACUCUUAAAUUAUGCUUUCGAUCAAAAAGUCUAUCAAAUCUCAUUCGGAUGACCUGAAAUUUUGCACACACAUCCCAAAUGACACAACGAAGCUACUGCAACUCUCGGAAUUCCAUUCUGACCCCUAUAUCAAAAUCUCGCCUAUCAACCGGAAAUCGCCAAAAUAUCAACUUCGCCAAUCUAAGCCUAAAUCUUCUCUACAACUCCAAAACUCAUUCCGAUCAUGCUCAUAAGUCACAAAUCACCUAACAGAGCUAACCAAACCAUAAAAAUUCCAAUCCGAGAUCAAAUACAAACAAGUCAAAUCUUGGUCAACCUUUCAAAUUUUAAGCUUUCAACUGAGAUUGUUCUUCCAAAUUCAUUCUGAUUAACCUGAAACCCAACACCAACGAUUUACACAAGUCAUAAUACACCACACGGGGCAAGUCAUUCCCGAGAACUGGCGAGCGAAGUGCAAAAGCUCAAAACGACCAGUCGGGUCGUUACAGUUAAGAACGAAACGAAGAAUCGAGCGGUCAUACGGCGCAUUGUCUAGUAAAAUGCACAUAACUUUUCGCUCAGAACUCCGUUUGGGCUCCACAAUAUAUCGUUGGAAAGCUAUUUGAAAGGAAUACAACUUUCAUGUUUUGCAUUUUCGCAAAUUCUCACUACCGUAUGGGGCGGCGCAAGAGUGUAAAAACUGGCCUAACAAGAAAAAUGCAAGGCUACUGAUAAUCUCCAUUAGCGCGCCGCAGGGUACGGCGUGCCUGUACAAAUUUUACAGAGUUCAGAGUCCUAUUUCGCGCAGGAAAGGGUGUUUCGUCUAGGCCUGACCCUACUUGAUAUAUAUACAUGGAAAAACGUUAUUUUGUUAACGUUUGACAGAGCUUAGACCUGGAGAAACGGACUUAGGAGGAAAAAUACACACAAGAAACAUCCGGGAGCAAGAACAUCUCAGAUUUCUUUAUCUUUUCUAGUAUUUUCAAUUAUUCAAAACUUAUGCAAUUGUUUGAUUACAUCAUGAGUGACUAAAUGUUACAUCCCGUACCUUAGCAUCAGGAUGUGCCGUAGUAAAUCUACAUGAGUUCGAAGGGAUUAUGUCUCUUAGGAGAUAGUUUUGAGGUAGGGCUUAGUGCGAUAGUAUGAAAGUAUCGGUUGGCGGUUUACCUUUGUUGUGUGAGACUGUAAGGUUGGGGAUUUUGUUCAGCAAUUAACUUAACAAUUUACUCCAAAUAAAUAAUGCUGCCUCCAGUACAGUGCAAUUCAGUUGCUCUCUUGGUAUUGCUUUAAGAUAUAUCUAUAUUAUUUUAACAAUUAACAACAAAUAAUUUUUGUAUAAGUCCAGUAAUGUUUUCUGCUCUUUACGAGUUAGAUAUAUUCCAUGUAAUGCGCAAGUUUUGAUAAAUCUUACUGGUGUUUAAAGCUUUUGCAAACACCACUAGUUUCUACGUUUUUUUUAAUAUCAAGAUAUCUCUUUUCCCAUGUGUAGUUAGUGCAUAAAAGCAUUAUUUAAGUUGUAUUAGUUAUUUGAAUUCUUGUUGCACAUAUUUACUAAUACUACCUUAUGUAAAUAUAAAAUUGUAUAUAUACUUGUAUGUAUAAUAACAGACACAUCUGUGUUUUUGUGCUUAUGUAUAUACUAGUAAAGGAUGGCCCAUGCUAAGCAUGGGCACAAACACUAUAUUGCAUAGUAAGAUUUUUUUCAAACCUUUAUAUAAAUAGUUUAUUGAAUUUACAAUUUACUUGUCUUAGUUGGUAUAAAUAGAUUUUAUACACACAUAUAUAUAUAUAUAUAUAUAUAUAUAUAUAUAUANNNNNNNNNNNNNNNNNNNNNNNUAUAAUGUAAUUUUUGAUAAUUUUCUUGAACUCUAACAUGGCAUCUAGCAUAUGCAUGAUAAUUUUCUCUUUAACUAAAGAUCAAAUAUUGGAUAACCCAUUAUUAGUAACAACAGAUAUUUAGCAUGGAAGAACAAAUAUUAUAUGCUACAAUUAUUAUUGUAUUAUGAAUUAAACUAUGUUAAUUUAAAAUAAAAAUAAACAAAUUUUCGUUUUUGAAGUAUUACAACUGAACGUAACUUUACAUUGAAUUGUUAAAGUUAUGUUAAACAAUGAAAAACAGUUUGCAACUCUAAGUUCCUUUAAAAAGUUGUGUCUUUUCCAUUUUAAACGUAGAGAUAGAUUUAGUCGUUAGUUUUUGUGUAGAGAGGUUUUAGCCUUUCCUAUGGGUUAAAUUGGGUUUAUCAGUAUUAUAUAAUUUAUUAUAAAAUCUUGUCUCUUGUUUUAUUUAUUUAAAGUAGAGGUAAAAAGCUUGAAUUCUUGUGUAGAGUAUUCAUACAAUUUUAAAAAGAUAAAACUAAGAAGAAUAUACUAGUCCGUCAAAAAGUAGAAUUAUGGAGAUUGGGGAAAAGAGAGAGAAAAAUAUGUCAGGUUCUCUCUGACACCAUAUCUAUUACUUUUCAGAAUAUAAAUUGUGCUCAGACUUUGACAAAAUUACUAAAACACAUACUCAUAAGCAAAUAUGUAAUAAAGGAUCAAAACAGGGGCAAAAAUGAAACUUCAAAAAGUGGUACAAGGGAUGGGCUGAAUGGUUGAUGAGGUAAGCAAGGGUAAUUUCGUUAGGGCACCGAAAACUUUAUAUAGCAGCUACAAUACAAUUACUUUUCGAUCAAUGAUUUGCUCACUUUUCGUGAAGUUACUGAAAUACUCUCAGGCAUGUUUGACCCCCUAUGUGCUUAUUCCCUCUUAUUAAUAGUUAGAAUUACAUACCAUAGCACUGUAUCAUCGGACACUUUUGGGUGCACGUAAUACAAUAUCUCUAUAAAAAUAAAUAGUUUUGUACAUUAAAUUCAUUAAUACGUGCUUGUGUGUAUGUAUUAAUUUUAUAUGGUACCACAUGACCAUGAUAGUAAAGUAUAUUAUUGUAAGAUGUAUAAAGUGUAUCAAAAAUAAGUAGAAUUUUUAAGUAAUUUGAGACAAUUUUUUUAUUAUGCAGAUAAUUAAUUAAUUACCAGGUAACGGAACACUACUUAAUUACCUAACAAGUAAUGGAUAGAGAUUAAAAUUUUCCCAUCUCACCCCACGUGGCAGCCACAUAGAAACACAUUAAGUGACUCAUCAUCAGCAAGGGGAAGGAAAAUAUUGAAAUGGUCCAACUUGAAAUUAGGGGUGCUGGAUACAUCCUUGAUUCCAUUGCUAGAAGACAUCCCUUAUUUUGUAAAGGAGAACAUGUCGAUUCCCUCUCAUUUGGAUGGUGAAGAUAAGCUGGACUUUCCAGCUAAAUUUGUAAUAGCUUCGUUGGCAUCUUAUUUCCUGAUUAAGUUGAAGCAUCUACGUCUAAUUGGUACAAAGAUGGGGAUGAUCCGAGAGUUAUUCUUCUUUGUAACUCAAACAUCAGGCGCUCAAAGUUUAUCUUUUGCUUGUAUUUCUAACUCCUUGAAUAAACCAACACCACUUCAGUUGGAUGUGUCCUUUCCUUCACUGAAAGACAUCAAAUGGAGUUUAGCACGAUUAAUAUAUUUGUUCAACAUACAACUAGAGAAAAAUGUUGCCACGUUUUUUUAUUGUUCUUUUGGUAUCAUGCUUCUUAUUUGUGAUGAUUGGUGGUGUUCUAUUCUUUAAAUUCAGCUGGGACUAUGAUUCUGAAGACAAUGUCCUCUAGCACUUUUCUAAUUGGCCUCAAUAAUCAUUUGUGAAACAGGAUUACUAUCUUUCUUCUUUUCCUUUUUCUGUUUUCAACAUGUCCAGCUAGCUCUUCUUAGUGGUGGAAAGUAUUUUAAUUCUAAGUUGAGCUGAUUUUAAGAUUCUGAGGAGGUUUUAUUUCGGAUAUAGAAUAAGAUUCUGAGGAGGUUCUGUAUAUUGGAUUACAAUGCCUUAUUCUCAGACAGUCAUGGUUCUUCGAUGCCGUUUGCCUCAUUCCGUUGUUCAAUUUUGAGUGUUAGAAGUAAACAACAUGUAUGUUAAGGCUAUCCCUUAUUUCUUUUGGCAUGAUCCAAGUAACAAUAUGUAAACGUAAUGCUAUUUUAUAAGUGGUUCUACCCUUAGUAGUUAAGGAUAUCUACAUUAUUCAUUCCUAUAAAAUGAUAUUCAAGCAUGUCUAAGUAUGUUCCUAAGUCUCUAUUGAGCUAUAUGAUUAAAAUGUUGAAUGAAGUUGUGUAUGGUAUAUGAUAGAGAAGUUAAUAUUUAUAAUAUAGUGAUACAUGUACAUGCAUCUUCAUGUAUUUACCACCGUGCUACAGCCGGUCGGGCAGUUACCACCGAUUGGGCAGUUACGUAUCAUUAUUUACCGCCGGUUGGGCAGACAUGUAUAUUAAUUUACCACCGAGCUACGGCCGGUUGGGCAGUUACACAUUUACCACCGAGCUACGGCCGGUUGGGCAGUUACAUAUUCACCACCGAGCUACGGCCGAUCGGGCAGUCAUGCAUUUACGAUCACGCUACGGCCGGUCGGGCAGUCAUGCAUCAUACGAUAUGAAUAAUAGCCUCAAAGCGAAGAAUUAUAUAUGCAAGUAUGAAUAUACGGUGGCGCUUCAGAGAUGCAGGUUGAUUCUUAUAUGUCAUUAAUUAAUGUUGACUUAUUUGUAUAUUUUAGUUCUGCCUUACAUACUCAGUACAUUAUUCGUACUGAUGUCCUUUUGUUGGGGACGCUGCAUUCAUGCCUGUAGGUAUAGAUAAUCAGUUUGGCAAGCCCUCAUCGUAGACGAGAUUGGCAUUCAGUGAAGGAUCGGUAAGACUCCACCUUAUUCGGAGUGUAGCCGAGUCUAUGAGUCAUCGUGUUAGAGUUUUACUACAUACUUAUGGGUCAGCCGGUACCCUGCCCCAUUUGAUGUCAAAUAAUCUUAGAUGCUUUGUAGACAGAGGUUCAUGUUGUACAGUAUGUUAGAGGCCUUGACAGCCCAUAUGUAUUAAUGUUUUAUGAACGAUGGUUUAUUAAUAUAACAUUUGCCCACUUACAAUUGUACAUUACGAGUUGGGGCGAUUUGGCUCAUGAUAGUUACACAAGGAAUGCAUGAGUUACAGAGUGGUUCGCUCGGGCCAGUGCGGCACCGGGUGCCAGCCUCCCAAGGUUUAGGGCAUGACACUAAACACCUAGUGUUCGGGGGUUGUGAUUUAGCCAUGAAUAUUGUUGUUUGAUAUUAGCUUGAACUUGAUUAUAAUUCACCAAUAUAUGGUUGUUUCUUCUAUUUUGUGAUUAAUUGCUUAAUUGUCUGGCCAGCAGUUAGGUUCUAUUUACUAUCUAUGCUAUGCUUGGGAAAGCCGUGUUUAGAUUAGAGAAGAAUUGAAGGAANNNNNNNNNNNNNNNNNNNNNNNNNAGGAAUAUAGGCGUUAAUCUAUUGAGAAUAGGUGAGUAGUACUUCAGGAGAAGGCUAUGAGAGCAUUUAUCGAUUAAUUAGCAACCAUGAGUAAAUUAUAUGAAAGGGAGAGAUAAUUAGAACACAAUACGAAUGGUGAAUCGAUCACAACCUUGGAAUACUUGUCUCUACUGAAUACAUAACAAUCAACUCGUUACUUGAUAAUUCAGUUGUUAUUUAGAAUAGUAGUAUAAUAUAAUCAUAUUAUUGGACUUUGAUUUUAGCUGGAUUGAAUAACAAUUUUAGUGAUUUAGUGAGUAGUUUAUACAAGUCUCUGUGGGUUCGACACUCAAUUUAUUAUUGUAUUACUUGUCGACCACGUAUACUUGUGUGUGUGUUUGGGAGCAAUAGGUUUUUGGUGUCGUUGCCGGGGACUUGAAUAUUAACUAUUUUUUAGUUUUUGCUUUAAUUAUUUAUUUCAUCGAGUCUAACGUUACUUGAUUGUUGCUCAGAUCUUAGGAACUUUGAUUGAAUGCGCAGGGUCAGAAGCCAGGACCGACUUCAAGGCUUUGAUCCUUAACCUGAGAGAACAUUUCACAGGAGGUCUGAGGGAAGCAAGAGACACGAAUAAUAUUCAGGCACUUGUUCAAUUUCCCGUGGACAUGGAAGAGGAGCAACACAUGGUUGUUCAAGAAAUGGCCAUGCCCAGUAUUGCUAAUGUCACCUCCAGUAUUGUGAAGCCCAGAAUCACUGGGCACUUUGAGCUGAAACAGAGCAUAAUUCAGCUACUUCAUGCAAACGGGCAGUUUAUGGGUCUUCCACACGAGGAUCCACAACAGCAUAUUCUGAACUUCUUGGAGAUUAGUGAUACUUAUAUCACUAACAGGGUCACUUAGCUAAGAGAUGGUUAAAGGCAGAACCAGCUAAUUCCAUUACAUUAUGGAAUGAUUUGGCAAGAAAAAUUCUGGCAAGGUUCUUCCCUUCAGGCAAAACUAUAAAGAUCGGAAGUGAGAUAGUUGCCUUCAAACAGAAAGCAGGAGAAUCUUUAUACUCAGCUUGGGAAAGGUUCAAGGGGCUAAUCAGAGACUGUCCUCAUCACAAUCAGACAAGAGAAGUAUUAUCUCACACUUUCAUAGAAGGUCUACAUCCUGAAACAAAGAUUGUGGUAGAUGCUGCAGUUGGAGGUCAAGUGUUGGAGAAAAGCUUUGACGAGAUAUAUGCAUUAUUGAACAAAUUCUCCAAAAAGCAAUCCGGAUUGUCAAGGAGAGAUGGGCUGACACACAGUGCAAAAGUCUGCAGGAGUUCUUGAGUUAGAUGUCGUCUCAGCAUUAUCAGCGCAGAUUUUUACACUGACCAAUCAAGUCAAUCAAUGACCUUGAUUAUUAACAAGCAACAAGCACAAUCGGUACAACAGGUUCACGUGUUUUGUAAAAUAUGUGGAGAGGGUCACACAAGCGACAUAUGCCCCGCUAACCUAGAGUUUGUCUGCUUUGUGGGUAAUUUAAAUAGGGGCCAAACAAACCAAUAUGGAAACACUUACAAUCCCAACUGGAGGAACCACCCAAACUUCUCUUGGGGUGGAAACCAAGGUACUUAGAAUCAAUACAGGCCUCAAGCACCUCAACAGCAAUAUAGACCACCUCAAGUUGAACAACAAGCGAGUCCUAAAAGUCACCUUGAAGACAUGUUGAAAAAAGUGAUGGCUGAAUAGUAAGCCCUCUCUCAAAAAGUGAUGGCUGAACAGCAAGGCCAAGCUGCAACAAUGAGAAAUUUGGAGCGCCAAAUGGGACAGCUUGCCAGUGCUCAAUACACUAGACCAGUUGGAGCUCUUCCAAGUGACACUGAAGCAAAUCCUAGGGCAGCCCUUAAUGCCGUGUCGUUGAGGAAUGGGAGACAAUUAGAAGAAGUUCAGUCUAAAAAGAGGAAACAUGUGACUUUUGAUGAGAGGCCAACCGCUAAAGAAUCAACAUAAGAAAAAGCUAAGGAGCCAAAGAAGCCAGCUGGAGAGGCGGUGGCUAAGCAACCCCCACCAUUGGUUGCAAGGCGACCACCUCCAUUCCCUCAAAGAUUGCAGAAAUUAAGGGAUAACGCCGCAUAUAAAAUGUUUCUUGAUACUUUGAAGCAGGUGAAAAUUAAUAUUCCAUUGGUUGACAUCUUACAAGAAGUACCCAAAUAUGCAAAGUACAUCAAGGACAUUGUGGCAAAUAAAAGAAGGCUGACCGAGUUUGAAACUGUGGCACUCACUGAGGAGUGCAGUUCAAGAAUUCAGGGUGAGUUACCUCAGAAAUUGAAGGAUCCAGGUAGUUUCACUAUCCAAAUCUCGAUUGGUAAAUAUGUUGUUGGGCGAACUUUAUGUGAUCUUGGAGCGAGCAUCAAUUUGAUGUUGCUAUCUGUGUUCAGACAGUUGGGGUUGGGUGAGCCAUGCCCAAUAACAGUUAUCUUACAGUUAGUUGAUCGCUCCCUUGCUCAUCCUGAGGGAGUGAUUGAAGAUGUGUUAGUUCAAGUGGGUUCUUUCAUAUUCCCAGCUGAUUUCAUUAUCUUUGAUUACGAGCCUGAUCAGGAAGUGCCAUUUAUUUUGGGGCAUCCAUUCUUAGCCACGGGCCGAGCUAUUAUUGAUGUUUGCAAAGGAAAGAUGACGAUGAGAGUAGGUGAUCGAGUGGAGGUGUUCAAUGUUUAUAAAGCACUCAGGUUCCCAGCCCACUAUGAAGAGUUAUCCAUGAUCUCUAUGGUGGAGAGUGAUGCCACAUCGUUAGUGCCCUAUAUGAGCCCUGUAGAUCCUGUUGAACUAGUAUUGAUUGAGGAUGGAGAAAAUAGUGAAGAUGAAAUGAUGGGAGAAGUUGAGAAAGUACUGGAUAUGCCCUGCAGUUUUGUCCAGGGGUUUAGAAAAUUUGAAGAGUUGGACAGGCCUGUCACUCUGACCCCUCCUAAGUCAUCUAUUGAAGAAGCUCCGAAGCUAGAACUUAUGCCACUUCCAGCGCAUCUGCGCUAUGCUUAUUUGGGAAACUCUGAGACAUUGCCCGUGAUUAUUUCGUCCACUUGACCAACACUCAAGAAGAAAAAUUGCUCAAAGUACUCCACUAGCAUAAAAAGGCCAUUUGGUGGACUAUAGCUGACAUCAAGGGUAUUAGUCCAUCAUUUUGCAUGCAUAAAAUCUUUUUAGAGGAUGGACACCGCCCCAGUAUGGUGCAGCAAAAAAUAUUAAAUCCCAUUAUGAAAGAGGUGGUGAAAAAGGAAGUAAUCAAGUUGCUCGAUGCAGGUAUCAUUUUUCCUAUUUCUGACAGCAACUGUGUAAGCCCAGUUCAAUGUGUGCCUAAAAAGGGAGGAAUGACUGUAGUUGAGAAUGAGAAGAAUGAGCUAGUUCCUACUCGCACUGUUACGGGGUGGAGAGUCUGCAUUGAUUAUAGACGGCUCAACAAAGCAACUCGCAAGGACCACUUCCCAUUUCCAUUCAUUGACCAAAUGCUAGACAGAUUAGUCAGGCAUGAAAUUAUUGCUUCCUUGAUGGUUAUUCGGGAUACAAUCAGAUAAUCAUAUGCCUAGAGGAUCAGGAGAAGACCAUUUUUACUUGUCCUUAUGGUACUUUUGCCAUCAAGCGAAUGACGUUUGGUCUUUGUAAUGCACCAGUCACUUUCCAGAGGUGCAUGAUGGCUAUUUUCACUGACAUGGUAGAAAAAUUCGUGGAAGUGUUUAUGGAUGAUUUUUCAGUUUUUGGUUCUUCUUAUGAUGAUUGCUUGAGGAAUUUAAGCAAGGUCUUGGCCCAUUGUGAAGAAACAAAUCUGGUACUAAAUUGGGAAAAGUGUCAUUUUAUGGUACAAGAAGGCAUCGUGUUGGGUCAUAGAGUAUCUAGGAGCGGCAUUGAAGUUGAUAAGGCGAAGGUGGAGGCGAUUGAAAAAUUAUCUCCACCUAUUUUAGUGAAGGGUGUUCGGAGUUUCUUGGGACACACAGGUUUCUAUCGGCGCUUUAUUAAAGAUUUUUCAAAAAUUGCUACUCCUUUGUGCAGGCUGUUUGAAAAAGAUGUAACUUUCAACUUUGAUGAUGCUUGCCUCAAGGCAUUUGAAGAACUCAAAAAGAAGUUGGUAUAUGCUCCCAUUAUUGUGGCACCUGAUUGGUCCGUACCAUUUAACCUUAUGUGUGAUACGAGUGACCUUGUUAUUGGGGCAGUGCUAGGCCAGAGGAAGGACAAGGCAUUUUAUUCCAUCUACUAUGCGAGUAAGACUCUUGAUGAUGCACAACUGAAUUACACCACCACUAAAAAGGAAUCUAAGGCUAGAUUGAUGCGUUGGGUUUUGUUGCUGCAGGAAUUUGAUGUAGAAAUACGAGAUCAAAAGGGGAUAGAGAACCAAGUAGCUGACCAUCUAUCAAGGCUUGAAAUCACGAUCACGUAGAGGAGGGUGACCAAAUUAAAGAAGUCUUUCCUAAUGAGCAACUUUUUUCUAUCACCCAAGACCCUCCUCCAUGGUACGCAAACUACGUGAAUUAUCUUGUGAGUGGGGUACUUCCUCCUGAAAUUGAAUCUGAAUCUAGAAAGAGGUUUUUACAUGAUGUGAACUUUUACUACUGGGAUGAGCCCUAUUUGUAAAAGCAAUGUGCUGAUCAGUUGAUGAGGAUAUGCAUUCCUGAAAAGGAGGUAGAAUUAGUGUUGUAUGAUUUUCACGCAUCACCUUAUGGGGCCAUCAUGGAGGAGAUAGAACAGCUGCAAAGGUACUACAAUCCGGUCUCUUUUGGCCAACUUUUGUUAAGAAGUGUUACCAAUGUCAGAGAACAGGAAUAAUCACAAGGAGGCAUGAGAUUCCUUUGACUAAAAUCUUGGAGGUUGAGAUCUUUGAUGUGUGGGGGAUAGAUUUUAUGGGACCAUUCCCAUCGUCUAGAGGAAAUAAAUACAUUUUUCUAGCAGUUGACUACGUGUCGAAAUGGGUGGAGGCAAUUGCCUUGGCAACAAAUGAUGCCAUGGUAGUAGCUGCAUUUGUGAAAAAGAAUAUAUUUUUGAGGUUUGGGACUCCACGUGCCUUAAUUAUUGAUGAGGGGACUCAUUUUUGCAAUCGGUUGUUGAAUAAUGUUCUAGCUAAAUAUGGGGUCCGCCAUAGAGUUGCUACAACAUAUCAUCCUCAAACAAGUGGUCAAGCUAAGGUGUCGAACAGAGAAAUAAAGCAAAUCUUAGAGAAGACGGUGAGUGUGAAUAGGAAGGAUUGGGCUGAAAAGUUAGAUGAUGCCUUGUGGGCGUAUAGAACAACAUACAAAAUGCCAAUUGGGGCGUCACCUUAUAAGCUUGUUUAUGGGAAGGCAUGUCACUUGCCUGUUGAACUUGAACACAAAGCGUAUUGGGCCAUUAAUAAGUUGAACAUGGAUCUUGACACCACGGGUGAGAAAAGACUCUUGCAGUUGAAUGAAUUAGAUGAGUUUAGGCUGCACUCUUACGAAAAUGUUAAGCUAUAUAAAGAGAAGACUAAAAGAUGUCAUGACAAGUGUAUCAAGCCACGUCACUUCGAGCCAGGCCAACAGGUAUUAUUGUUCAAUUCUAGGAAAAAGUUAUUUCGUGGGAAGUUAAAAUCGAGAUGGUCAGGCCCUUUUGAGGUGGUGAGAGUCACUCCUUAUAGUGCAAUUGAGUUGCGAGCUUUAAAUGGUGAAAGAAAAUUUUUGGUGAACGGACAUAGAUUUAAGCACUAUUGGGGAGGAAUAAUUGACCGCGAGAAGACCCAAGUUGUACUCGCUGAUGAGUAAGCAAGGCCAUACGUCGUACCACGAUGUUAAAUCAGGCACUUGUUGGGAGGCAACCCAUCUUUAUUGUUUUCUUUUGUUUUUAUUUUUUUGUUGUUAUUAUUGUUGUAGUAUUUGUUUUUGUUUUGUAGGAUUAUAAACAUAUGAGGAAAAGUCAUUGGAAGAGUGUAAAAGCGAGUUAGAUGUUCAGGACUAAUUGUUGGGAGCCCACACGAAGGACUAUGCCUUGGGGAAGUCUGAGUACUCAUGAGCUGCUAUUGCUUCGGCCUUUGGCCUUUCAGGGAGUUUCUUAUCCACCCUUGUUAUUGUUUUGCUUUAUUUAUGCAUUGAGGACACUGCACUCUUUUAAGUGUGGGGUGGGAGAAUUCUCUAGAUGAUUAGUAGGAUGUAGAAUUGUGUAGCAUUUUAGUAGCUCGAAAAAAAAUCAAAAAAAUAGAAAAUUGGACUUAUCCUGAUGAUGGAUCUCCUAGACAUUUUUCUUGAGGGAUUAACGUCUAAAUAAAAAGGACAAAAAAGAUUUUUUCUAUAGGUAGUGUAUCAAUUUUCCCUUGGUUUUUCUUUGUGCCGCAGUUCUUUUUCAAAGGUUUUGUUUGAACCGGGUAUAGUUAACCUUGUCAUCCCUUGAGAAUAGUGAGUACUUUAGUUGUGACGCUUAGGCUCAGUUUUUGACUCUUAUAUAAGUACCUUAAAUUUUAUGAUCGUAACAUUGCUUAGUUUCUUUGACUAGAGUGUCUUGAUGAGUCUAAUCCUGAGUGAGUUAUGUGCCAUGUGUGUGUAAAGUUUUAUGUUAUUCUGUGCAUUGCAUUUGAUGUCUAGGACUUGCCCCGUGUAUUUUCAAAGCGAAAUAGUAAUUUUGUUCAGUCUUGGAAGUGAUAUAGGUGUUUCUUUAUUGAGCCAUAUAAAUAUUUUACCCGCCUAAUUGUUAUGUAUCAUAGUUAACCCCUUUGAGCCUGUAAUCCUGUUUCUUUGGCAACCACAUUACAAGCUUUACCCAUUUGUUUGAAUUAACCAUUUAUUUGAACCUUUUCACCUCUCAUGAGCACUUGAAUUGUUAUAACUGUGUAAAAGUUAAAGCGUGGGGUGGUUGGAUUGGAUUUUUAGUGGAACUAAUGAAAUAAGGAGAAAUGUGCAGUGUUUUGGAAAAAAAAGUAAGAGCCACUUGAAAAGAAAAAAAAGAAAGAAAAAAUAUAGUUGUAUUACUGUGAAAAAUAUUCCUUGCUAAGUGGUGACUCUUAAUGUAAUUGUGCUUAAAGAAGUGAGGAGUUAAUAUAUAUUGAUGUGAAGGUGGAGUUAUGGUUUGACAUAAGUAUGGGGUUUUAAAUGUUAAAGUGUAUGUAUUAAAGUGCUUAGGGAGGUGUAGUCACUCUUAUAUCGAAAUAUAUCCUACCUGACCCGCAACCUACGUUACAACCAAAUAAAGUCCUACUUGAUCCUAGACUAAAUGAGCUCGAUUAGUAGAGUAGUACACUACGGGCAAGCUUAUGGUGCAUCUUUUGUGGCAUAUGAAUGUUAUUUCUGAGAGUGAGUGAAGUCUUUCUAUCUUGAGUUCCUAAUUGUUCUUAAUUUGUAUUGUGUGUGGAACUACUCUCUUUAGUUGUGUGAGGUCACUUGAUUCAUGAAGGAAAGGUAAUGUCAGUGACCUCUAUGUUAGAGUAAGUGGGUGAGCUGUGAAUAAUGUGUGGUAAUUGUGAGUCAAACCUUGAGGUGAAGAUGUUACACUCUUGUGCUUAGUCUAUUUUAAAUAUUCUUGGUAUGAUGAGUUAGGAGAGCUAUCUAAAAAGGUCGUGUCUAUAUAAAGUGUAGUUUGAUUGCUCGAGGACGCGCAAUGGUUUAAGUGUGGGGUGUUGAUGAUCGGCUAUAAUUCUGUUUUUUAGUCGCUUAUUACACUCUAAUUUACUGCACUUUAAUUGAGCUUGAGCUUUAAUCGCUAGUGUUUUGCACUAAAUAUGUGUUUUAUGCCUUGUAGGAGUGAUUCCGAUCUAUGUAGGCGUUAUGGAAUGAAUUCAAGUAAUUUGGAGCUUUGUAGACUGAGUAAAAUCCCAAGAAAUUAAGUCGGGAUCGUGUUCGGGGAUCAGCGGAUGAUAGUUAAGAACAAAACAAAGAAUUGAGUGGGCAUACGGUGCAUUGUCUAGUAAAAUGCACAUACCUUUUCGCUCAGAACUCCGUUUAGGCUCCACACUAUAUCGUUAGAAAGUUAUUUGAAAGGGAUACAACUUUCAUGUUUUGCAUUUUCGUAGAUAUUUACUACCGCGCCGUAUGGGGAGGCGCAGGGUGCGGCGCAGAAGUGUAAAAACUGGCCUGACAAGAAAAAUGCAAGGCUGCUGAUAAUCUUCAUAAGCGUAUCGUAGCGUAUGGCAUGCCUGUACAAAUUUUACAGAGUUCAGAGUCCUAGUUUGUGCAGGAAAGGGUGUUUCGUCUGGGCCCGACCCUACUUGGUAUAUAUACAUGGAAAAACGUUAUUUGGUGACUUUUGACAGAGCUUAGACUUGGAGAGACGGACUUAGGAGGAAAAAUACACACAAGAAACAUCCGAGAGCAAGAACAUCUCAGAUUUCUUCAUCUUUUCUAGUAUUUUCGAAUAUUCAAAACUUAUGCAAUUGUUUGAUUACAUCAUGAGUGGCUAAACACCCAGUGUUCUAGGGUUGUUGUAACGACCCUACUGGUCGUUUUGCCUUUUAAAACCCUGUUCCCCUAAAUAAAACUUUCCGCACUUGCUUUAAGUCAUUUACGACCCGGGGGGGAUGGUUGGGUCGGGAAUUUGAAAGGAUUUGGGUUGAAAUAUGCUCAUUUGAUUCCUUAAGAUUUUCUUAAAAGGCUAAGUGUGACUUUGGUCAAUAUUUUUUGCAAACGAACCCGGAUUCGUAUUUUGACAAUCUCGGAGGGUUCGUAGAAGAAUAUGGGACCGGGGCGUAUGCCCGGAAUCGAAUUCCGAGGUCCCUAGCCCGAGUAAUGAAUUUUUAUUAGAAAUUAUUGAACUGAAAUUCUAAGGAUUUAAAGAAACUAAAUAUUGAUUGAUCACAUGGGUAUCGGGCUCGUUUGUUGGUUCUGGAGCCCAGUACAUAUCCAAAAUAGCAUUUAAGACUUGCCCGCAAAAUUUGGUGUCAAUCCGAGUAUUUUAAGGGCGUUUCGGCUCGUUAGAGGAAAAUUAAGAACUUGAAGUUCAUAAGUUUGAUUCAAUUGGUUUUAGGGGUGAUUUUUAGAUUUACCAUUGUUUCGGGCAUUCCAAAGGUUCGAGUAGGUCCGUUUCAUGAUUUCAGACCUGUUGGUAUGUUUGGGCGGGGCCCGGGAGCCCCGAGCGUCAAUCGGACGAGGCUCGAGUGAAGUUGGAAUUUUUGAUAAAAGCUGAAGCAUUUGCUUCUGUCAUAACCGCACCUACGGUUGGUCGACCGCAGGUGCGAGACCGCAGAAGCAGUCCGCCUAUCGCAGAUGCGUCCCAGGGCAGGCCAGGCCCAAACCGCAGAAGCGGAUCCCAAGCCGCAGAAGCAGCCUCGAGACCGCAGAAGCGGUCGUAGCCCACUUGGCCGGUUCCGCAGAUGCGUUCGAUUUCUCACAGAAUCGGGACAGCAGAUGCGGAAGUCGCUAAAGUAGUGAGCUUCAUUUAAUACGGGUUCUAAUUCCCUCUUUGCCACUUUUCACUCCUUCAUUGGCGAUUUUGGGAGCUUUUGAGAGAAAACUUCCACCUAGCAUCUUAAGGUAAGCUUAUCCCACCUAUUUUUAGUUUAAUACAUGUGUCUGAUGUAGAUUAAACACUAGAAUUAAGGUAAAAUCAAGGGGUUAGAGCAAAACCUAGGGUUUUGACAAAAGUUAGAUUUAACCAUGGAAUUUGUUAUGAAAUAAAUUAGAAAUCGUAUAUUAUUGAUCCUUAGGUUAUGAAGAACAACUUCCUUCGAAAAAUUUUGGAAUCCAGGCAUGUGGGCCCGGGGGCGGAUUUUAGGAAACUUGUUAAUGGUUGGAAAAUUGCUUAAAUAGCUAGAAUUCGAUCUUGUAAGCUUAUAUUGACUAGUUCCUACCUUAUUUAACUAGUUUUGGAUCGUUCGGUUCCAAAUUGAGAGUUUGGGCUCGUUCUUGGUAUUGGAAGUGCACUUUGGAGCGAGGUGAGUCUACUUUCUAACCUCGUAAGAGGGAAUUGUCCCCAUAGGUGUAAUAAUUGGAUAAUUGCUACUAAAUGUGGGGGCUACGUGCACACUAGGUGAUGAGAGUCCGUGCGUAGCUACUAUUAUGUUAAUUGUUCGGGUAGUCUAGGACCCGUACCGUGCUAUAUUUGUGAAUGUCUCUAUAUUUUCUUGCUAAUAUGAUCACUUAAGGUAUGCUAGAGACUUGGAAAGGAAUAUAAGUGAAUGUACACACUUGUUGAACACUUGUAUGAAUUUGUUUGAAAAUAAAUGCGCAUUCAUGUGUUUCCUUGAUAUUAAUUGAUAUUGGUGGAUCGGGCCGAUCACCUUGGUAGAAAUAGAUGCAUCUAUGGUUCGCGCCAUCGACCCUCUGACAGUGCAUAAUUUAUUUUCUGUUGGAUCAGACCGUCGACCUCGGCAUAAUGUGCACAUGAUAUCUAUGUGAAAUCUUAUCCAUGACUUGAUCUGCUAAAUAUUUGAAAUGUAAACGGCUAAUCUUAAAAUUGUCAAGAACAUGACUUAUUACCUCUUGCUACAAACUAUUGAUUAUUUGUGACUCCCAUGUUGCUUCAUUAUAUUAUUUGACCUUAGUAAGUAUCAAGUCUACCUCUCGUCUCUACCUCUUAGAUAUUAGACGGGAUACUUACGGGGUACAUAUUGUUUAUGUACUCAUAAUACAUUUCUGUACUUAAUUGUACAGGAUCUGAGGUAGGUACAUAUGGCUAUCAAUCUGGUGCGCACCCCUAUUUCAUGGUCUGGGACUUCUACGGUGAGUUGCCCCUUCCUGUGUCGUUCAACAACUUGAUGGAAUCUCUCUUUAUUUAUUUUUGUUGUCUAUUCUAUUUCGGACAGUAGGAUGGAUUUAUUCUCUUGUAUAUUCUACUAGUUGCCCACAACUUGUGACACCACAUCUUGGCACACACAUUAGUAGACAUUUCUUUUGGGUUGAAUAAUUAUUAUCGAAUAUUAAGUAUUAUCACCUAACUUCAAUUACAAAUUAAGAAAAUUUUGUAACUGUUUUGGGCAAGUAAAAUAAGAAUUUACUAAUACUUCCGCGUUGACUUGCCUCACAACGGUGUUGGGCGCCAUCACGAUCUAUUAUGGAAAUGGGUCGUGACAACGUGGUAUCAGAGCACUAGGUUCACGUAGGUCUCACAAUUCAUGGGCAAACCUAAUAGAGUUUUGCGGAUCGGUACGGAGAUGUCUGUAUUUAUCUUCAAGAGGCUAUAGGGUGUUAGGAAAACUACUCUUUAUUCAUUUCCUAUCGUGUAGUGGUUGGUAUACUAAAUUUCCUUCUUCUAUUCUCUCAAAGAUGGUAAGGACACGUACGGCUGAUGUUCCAGACUCGGGAGGAGCUGAUCCCCCCAUUGCGAGAGGCUGAGGCAGAGGCCGAGGGAGGGCACCGGCCCAAGGUAGGGGACGAGGGCGUCCCAGAUUUAUCCCAGUAGUACCACCAGCAGAUCCUGUGGGAGAUCCUAUCAUCGAGGAGUAGGGCGAGUUGCCCGCAGUUGAGCCUACCCGGCAAACUUUAUGACAACACUGGAUUUUUAGGAGGUCAUGAGUCAUAUGUUGCGGUUUAUGGAUUCUAUGACUUAGGCUGGUUUAUUUCCAUCUGAUCCAGCUACAUCACAGGCAAUACGGGGAGCACAGACCCUACUGCUCAAGCUCCUGGACACGCAGUUGCAGUGUAUCAGACUCUGAGUGCACUACUCGCAGAUGGGGCCCAGCCAGUUGCUACGGUGGCACCCCAGCCCAGACCAGCUGUGGACGGCGACCCGCAGAAGUUAUUGGACGGAUGGAAUAGACUUCACCCUCCUAUCUUCGGGGGUGAGCAUCAUGAGGAUGCCCAGGACUUUAUAGAUAGGUACAGGGACAGACUACACAACAUAUGGAUAUUGGAGUCGCAUGGGGUUGACUUCACUACUUUUCAGCUUGAGGGCAGGGCCCGUAGAUGGUGGCAGUCCUAUGUUCUUGGCAGGACAGCAAGUUCUCCUCUCAUCACUUGGAGUCAGUUCACACAGUUAUUCCUGGACAGGUAUAUUCCACCCUCUGAAGGAAAAGAGCUACGAUAUCAGUUCGAACAGUUGGAGCAGGGUCAGAUGUCGGUGACCGACUAUGAGGCAACGUUUUUUGAGUUAUCCCGCCAUGCAUUGAUGAUACUUCCUACUGAUGCAGAGAGGGUGCAGAGGUUCGUUGCAGGGUUGCAUUCUGGAAUUAGGGCCAACAUGGCCUGAGAGGUGGAGAUGAGGACUCCUUAUCAGCUAGUAGAGAUUGCUCGAAGGAUUGAGGGCUACCGUCUGAGGGGUAGAGAGCAGAUGCAGUAGGACAAGAGGGCUAGAUUCUCCGGAGAGUUGAGAAGUACCUCGGUUAGCGGUAAAGGUCAGUUUAGGAGGGGUCAGCCCAGCACACCCCUAUAUUCAACACCACCAACUUCUCGGGGUGCUCCGGCGCGCCCCUAUUUCAGCAUCAUGCUAGAGAGUUCUUAUCGCACGCCAGUUAUUCAGGGUUCCUCCGGUAGGUAUUCAGGUCCUCGGGGUUCUUCUGAUACUUAUUUCAGUGCUAUGCCCCAGGUAGUACAGUAGGGGCAGUAGCCUAUGAUUUCAACAUCGGCUGCCCCGCCACCUAGAAGUGGAGGACAGACUGGUAGGGGCUGUCCUAGAGGUGGAGUCCAGGUAGGGAAAGGUCAGCCAGCUACUACUCAGUCAGGUGGAGGCCAUCCAACCGGCGGUCCGGCUAGAUUCUAUGCCCUUCCGGUUAGGCCAGAUGCAUUGGCCUCAGAUGCCGUCAUCACAGGUAUUAUUUUCGUCGACGGUAGAGAUGCCUCAGUAUUAUUUGAUCCAGGGUCUACUUAUUUAUUUCCUCUUUGUUUGCUCGUUUCCUGGUCAUUUCUCUUGAACCUUGGGGCACUCCUGUUCAUGUGUCCACUCCUGUGGGCGAUUAUGUGGUUGUGGAUCGGAUCUACCGGUCCUGCAUGGUCUCAUUCUGUGGUUUCGAGACUAGAGCGAAUCUCAUGUUGCUUGAUAUGAUCAAUUUUGAGGUCAUCCUGGGCAUGGAUUGGUUAUCUCCAUAUCAUGCCGUCCUAGAUUGUCAUGACAAGACUGUUUCAUUAGCAAUGCCAGGGCUGCCGAGGUUGGAGUGGAAGGGUUCCACAGUUGAAACAUCUAGUCGGGUUAUCUCUUUUCUGAAGGCUCGACAUAUGGUCAAGAAUGGGUGUUUGUCUUAUCUAGCUUAUGUUCGGGACACCACCGUAGAGUCUCCGAUGAUUGAUUCAGUUCCGGUAGUUCGAGAGUUCGCCGAUGUGUUUCCUUCUGAUCUUCCUGGCAUGCCACCAAAUCGUGAUAUUGAUUUCUGUAUAGAUUUGGCCCCAGGCACCCAGCCUAUAUCUAUCCCACCGUACCGUAUGGCUCUGAAGGAGUUGAAGGAGCAGCUUGAGGAGUUGUUAGAAAGGGGUUUGUUAGACCCAGUGUAUCGCCUUGGGGUGCACCAGCGUUAUUUGUGAAGAAGAAGGAUGGGACUAUUGAUUACCGCCAGUUGAACAAAGUCACCAUCAAGAACAAGUAUCCAUUUCCUCAUAUUGAUGACUUGUUUGACCAGUUGUAGGGUGCUAGGGUGUUCUCCAAGAUUGACUUGAGGUCAUGGUAUCAUCAUCUGAAGAUUCGGGACUCAGAUNNNNNNNNNNNNNNNNNNNNNNNNNNNNNNNNNNNNNNNNNNNNNNNNNNNNNNNNNNNNNNNNNNNNNNNNNNNNNNNNNNNNNNNNNNNNNNNNNNNNNNNNNNNNNNNNNNNNNNNNNNNNNNNNNNNNNNNNNNNNNNNNNNNNNNNNNNNNNNNNNNNNNNNNNNNNNNNNNNNNNNNNNNNNNNNNNNNNNNNNNNNNNNNNNNNNNNNNNNNNNNNNNNNNNNNNNNNNNNNNNNNNNNNNNNNNNNNNNNNNNNNNNNNNNNNNNNNNNNNNNNNNNNNNNNNNNNNNNNNNNNNNNNNNNNNNNNNNNNNNNNNNNNNNNNNNNNNNNNNNNNNNNNNNNNNNNNNNNNNNNNNNNNNNNNNNNNNNNNNNNNNNNNNNNNNNNNNNNNNNNNNNNNNNNNNNNNNNNNNNNNNNNNNNNNNNNNNNNNNNNNNNNNNNNNNNNNNNNNNNNNNNNNNNNNNNNNNNNNNNNNNNNNNNNNNNNNNNNNNNNNNNNNNNNNNNNNNNNNNNNNNNNNNNNNNNNNNNNNNNNNNNNNNNNNNNNNNNNNNNNNNNNNNNNNNNNNNNNNNNNNNNNNNNNNNNNNNNNNNNNNNNNNNNNNNNNNNNNNNNNNNNNNNNNNNNNNNNNNNNNNNNNNNNNNNNNNNNNNNNNNNNNNNNNNNNNNNNNNNNNNNNNNNNNNNNNNNNNNNNNNNNNNNNNNNNNNNNNNNNNNNNNNNNNNNNNNNNNNNNNNNNNNNNNNNNNNNNNNNNNNNNNNNNNNNNNNNNNNNNNNNNNNNNNNNNNNNNNNNNNNNNNNNNNNNNNNNNNNNNNNNNNNNNNNNNNNNNNNNNNNNNNNNNNNNNNNNNNNNNNNNNNNNNNNNNNNNNNNNNNNNNNNNNNNNNNNNNNNNNNNNNNNNNNNNNNNNNNNNNNNNNNNNNNNNNNNNNNNNNNNNNNNNNNNNNNNNNNNNNNNNNNNNNNNNNNNNNNNNNNNNNNNNNNNNNNNNNNNNNNNNNNGAUAUACUCCCGUAUCCUAGGGGAGCACGAGCAACAUUUGAGGGUAGUGCUUCAGACCUUGCGAGAGCAGAAGCUAUAUGCUAAGUUCUCCAAGUGUGAGUUUUGGCUAGAGUCAGUGGCAUUCUUGGGGCAUAUUAUGUCAGGAUAGGGUAUUAAGGUGGACCCCAAGAAGAUUGAGGCAGUUAAAAGUUGGCCACGUCCUACUUCGAUGAACGAGAUCAGGAGUUUUAUGGGGUUAGUAGGUUAUUAUAGAUGAUUCAUGCAGGGCAUUUCAUCUAUUGCAUCAUCUCUGACUAGAUUGACCUGAAGGGUGCUCCCUUCCGUUGGUCUGAUGAUUUCGAGGCGAGCUUUCAGAAGCUCAAGACAACCUUGACUACAACAUCAGUUCUUGUGUUGCCUUCCGGCUUAGGGGUGUAUACGAUAUAUUACGACACUUCGCGCAUCGGAUUGGGGUGUGUAUUGAUGUAGGAGGGGUGAGUUAUUGCAUAUGCUUCGCGUCAGCUGAAAAUCCAUGAGAAGAAUUAUCCUGUGCACGAUUUGGAGUUGGCCGCGAUUGUUCAUGCUCUUAAUAUAUGGAUGCAUUAUCUGUACAAGGUAUCAUGUGAGGUUUAUACUGAUCAUCGCAGCUUAUAGCACUUGUUCAAGUAGAGGGAUCUCAAUUUGAGGCAGCGUAGAUUGCUUGAGUUGCUGAAGGAUUAUGACAUCACCAUUCUUUAUCAUCCGGGCAAGGCAAAUGUGGUCGUGGAUGCCUUAAGCAGGAAAGCAGAGAGUUGGGUAGCUUGGUGACAGUAGAGCAGAGGCCACUAGCUUUGGACAUCCAGUCCUUGGCUAACAGACUUGUGAGGUUGGAUAUUUCAGAGCCCCACGGAGUUCUUGCGUGCGUUGUUGCUCAGUCUUCAUUAUUGGGGCAGAUCAGGGCCCGGCAAUUUGAUGAUCCACAUAUGGAAGUUCUCAGAGAGACAAUGCUUCAGGGUAGUGCCAAGGAGAUUUCUAUUGGCGAGGAUGGUGUUUUAUGGCUCCAGGGUCGCCUAUGUGUUCCUAAUGUUGAUGGCCUAAGGGAGAGGAUACUAGAUGAGGCACACUGUUCGCGGUAUUCUAUUCAUCCGGGUGCUACGAAGAUGUAUCGUGACUUGAGGCAGCAUUAUUGGUGGCGGAGGAUGAAGAAAGACAUAGUGGAUUAUGUGGCUAAGUGUUUGAACUGCCAGCAGGUCAAGUACGAGCAUCAGAGACCGGGUGGCCUACUUCAGUAGAUGCCUAUACCAGAGUGGAAGUGGGAGCGCAUUACUAUGGAUUUCGUAGUUGGCUUGCCCCGGACCUUGCGGAAGUUUGAUUCAGUGUGGGUCAUCGUGGAUAGGUUGACCAAGUCGGCACACAUUAUACCGGUUGUGACUACUUACACUUCGGAGAGACUGGCUCAGAUUUAGAUUCGGGAUAUAGUCUGGUUGCACGGUGCACCUGUUUCCAUCGUAUCGGAUAGGGGCCCUCAGUUCACUUAUCAUUUUUGGAGAGCUAUUCAGGGUGAGUUGGGGACCCGCGUGGAGCUUAGCACAGCAUUUCACCCACAGACCGACGGGUAGUCGGAGCGGACAGUCCAUAUCUUGGAGGACAUUCUUAGAGCAUGUGUGAUUGACUUUAGAUGAUAGUGGGAUCAGUUCUUGCCUUUGGCAGAGUUUGCUUACAACAACAGCUAUCAGUCUAGCAUUGAGAUGGCUCCAUUUGAGGCUUUAUACGUUCGGCAGUCAUUCUCCUAUCGGGUGGUUUGAGCCUGGUGAGGCUAAGUUAUACGGUACAGAUUUGGUACAGGAUGCCUUGGACAAGGUAAAGUUGAUCCAGGAGAGGCUUCGCACAGCUCAGUCCAAACAGAAGAGUUACACAGAUUAGAAGGCGCGAGAUGUAUCAUUUAUGGUUGGCGAGAAGGUCCUCUUGAAAGUCUCGCCAAUGAAGGGUGUUAUGAGGUUCGGGAAGAAGGUCAAGCUGAGCCCAAGGUUUAUUGGCCCAUUUGAGGUGUUGAGACGAGUUGGGGAGGUUGCUUACGAGCUUGCUUUACCCCCUAGUUUAUCGGGAGUCCACCCAGUCGGUCACGUGUCCAUGCUUCGGAGGUAUCAUGCCGAUUUGUCCCGUGUGUUGGACUUCAGUACUAUUCAGUUGGAUGAGAGCCUGAGUUACGAGGAGGAUCCAGUUGCCGUUAUUGAUAGGCAGGAUCGCCAGUGAAGAUCCAAGAGGAUUUCAGCAGUAAAGGUCCAAUGGAGGGGCCAACCAGUCGAGGAGGCGACCUGGGAGUCCGAGGAGGAUAUGCGGAGCAGAUACCCACAUUUAUUCAGCACUUCAGGUACGUUUCUAUGCCCGUUCGAGGAUGAAUGUUUGUUUAAGAGGUGGAGAAUAUAACGACCCGACUGGUCAUUUUACCUUUUAGAACUCUGUUCCCUUAAAUAAAACUUCCUGCACUUGCUUUAACUCAUUUAUGACCCGCGGGGAUAGUUGGUUCGGGAAUUUGAAAGGAUUUGGGUUGAAAUAUGCUCAUUUGAUUCCUUAAGAUUUUCUUAAAAGGCUAAGUUUGAUUUUGGUCAACAUUUUUAGUAAACGGACCCAGAUUCAUGUUUUGACGGUCCUGGAGGGUCCGUAGGAAAUAUGGGACCUGGGCGUAUACCCGAAAUUGAAUUCCGAGGUCCUUAGCCAGAGUAAUAAAUUUUUAUUAAAAAUUGUUAAACUGAAAUUCUAAGGAUUUAAAGAAACUAAAUAAUGAUUGAUCACACGAGUAUCGGGCUCGUAUGUUGGUUCCGGGGCCCAGUACAGAUCCAAAAUAGCAUUUAAGACUUGCCCGCAUAAUUUGGUGUCAAUCCGAGUAGUUUAAGGGAGUUUUGGCUCGUUAAAGGAAAAUUAAGAACUUGAAGUUCAUAUGUUUGAUUCAAUUGGUUUUAGGGGUGAUUCUUAGAUUUAGCGUUGUUUCGAACGUUCCGAAGAUUCGAGUAGGUCCGUUUCAUGAUUUCAUACCUGUCGGUAUGUUCAGGCGGGGCCCGGGAGCCCCAAGCGUCAAUCGGACGAGGCUCGAGUGAAGUUGAAAUUUUUGAGAAGUGCUUCAGUCAUAACCGCACUUGCGGUUGGUUGACCGCAGGUGUGAGACCACAGAAGCGGUCUGCCUAUCACAGAUGCGGCCCAGGGCAGGCCAGACCCAAACCGCAGAAGCGGCUCCCAAGCCGCAGAAGCAGCCUCGAGACCACAGAAGUGGUGGCAGCCCACUUGGCCAGUUCUGCAGAUGCGUUUGAUUUCUCGCAGAAGUAGGACCGCAGAUGCAGUCCCCUGACCGUAGAUGCGGAAGUCGCUGAAGUAGUAAGCUUCAUUUAAUACGGGUUCUAAGUCCCUCUUUGCCACUUUUCACUCCUCCAUUGGCGAUUUUAGGAGCUUUUGAGAGAAGACUUCCACCUAGUAUCUUGAGGUAAGUUUAUCCCACCUAUUCUUAGGUUAAUACUUGUGUCUUAGGUAGAUUAAAUACUAGAAUUAAGGUAAAAUCAAGAGGUUAGAGCAAAACCUAGGGUUUUGACAAAAGUUAGAUUUAACCACGGAAUUUAUUAUGAAAUGAAUUAGAAAUCGUAUAUUAUUGAUCCUUAGGUUAUGAAGAACAACUUCCUUCAAAAAAUUUCGGAAUCCGAGCACGUGGGCCCGGGGGCGGAUUUUAGGAAACUUGUUAAUGGUUGGAAAAUUGCUUAAAUAGCUAGAAUUCGAUCUUGUAAGCUUAUAUUGACUAGUUCCUACCUCAUUUAACUAGUUUUGGAUCAUUCGGCUCCAAAUUGAGAGUUUGGGCUCGUCCAUGGUAUUGGAAGUGCACUUUGGAGCGAGGUGAGUCUCCUUUCUAACCUUGUAAGAGGGAAUUAUCCUCAUAGGUGUAAUAAUUGGAUAAUUGCUACUAAAUGCGGGGGCUACGUGCGCACUAGGUGACGAGAGUCCGUGCGUAGCUACUAUUAUGUUAAUUAUCCGGGUAGUCUAGGACCCGUACCAUGCUAUAUUUGUGAAUGUCUCUAUAUUUUCUUGCUAAUGUGAUCACUUAAGGUAUGCUAGAAACUUGGAAAGGAAUAUUUGCGAAUGUAUACACUUGUUGGACACUUGUAUGAAUUUGUUUGAAAAUAAAUGCGCAUUCAUGUGUUUCCUUGAUAUUAAUUGAUAUUUGUGGAUCGGGUCGAUCGCCUCGGUAGAAAUAGAUGCAUCUAUGGUUCGCGUCAUUCGACCCUCUGGCAGUGCACAGUUUAUUUUCUGUUGGAUCGGGUCGUCGACCUCGGCAUAAUGUGUGCAUGAUAUCCAUGUGAAAUCUUAUCCAUGACUUGAUCUGCUAAAUAUUUGAAAUGUAAAUGGCUGAUUGUAAAAUUGUCAAGAACAUGACUUAUUACCUCUUGCUACAAACUGUUGAUUAUUUUUGACUCCCAUGCUUAGUACAAUUCUUCAUUAUAUUAUUUGACCUUAGUAAGUAUCAAGUCGACCUCUCAUCUCUAUCUUUUCGAGAUUAGGCGGGAUAAUUACGGGGUACAUAUUGUUUAUGUACUCAUACUACACUUCUGUCACUACUAGAAAUUGGAGCUAUGGCAACCUUUCGAAAACCGUUACAAUAAAUAAGCUAACCGUCCUUAUAGGGCUAAUGGGACGGAUUUGGACGCGUUCCGGGAUUCAGUGUUACAAUAGGUCUACUGGAACGGUUAUUUGCAACAGUUUACAAACCGUCUCCAUAGAUAGGGUAUUGGAACGGUUUGUACUGCUACCACUAUUCUAUCUACAGAAACGGUUUCCUUUUCAUUUGGGACGGUUAUAAACCAUCCUGGUAAAAUAAUACAGCUGAUUUUUUUAAGUCUAUUGCAACGGUUUUCAUGAUAUAUUGCAACGGUUUGUGUGAUAUAUUGAAACAAUUAUCAGUACCCCUAUUGCAACAGAUAUUAUAACAUAUUGGAACAGUUAUAAAGGGCUGCUCUUAUUAUUUGCUAGAUCUAUUGGAACGGUUAUAUUCUCUAUUGCAACAACUUGUAAUUUCUGAUAUUUAUGGAAGCAAAAUGAGAAAUAGUUUCCUAUUCUAUGAAAUUGUUUACACCAUAUCCAACUAGCAUUAUCCAUAUACAAAAACAAAAUAUGGAUACAUUGUUUGGUCAAACAAUUCAAAAGUCAAAAUAGAUGAGUUUGUAUACAAAAAGUUCUAAACUAAAAUAUCCUUAAACAUAAUAAUAGAAAGUCUAACAACGAUCAAUAACACUCAAGUAAGGUCUUCGUCACUGCUUUCAUCUGCAAUCACUGCACCUACAAAACACAAUGAGAAAUAAUUAAACAAAAAUUUUAGGAUAAUUGAAUCACAAAGUAAUUGAAUGACCAAUUUGAUAACUUGAAAAUUUUCAAACUCUCUAAAUUCUUAAAUUUUUUGGCAAAGUUUCCUUUGUAAAAAUGACUAUUCCAAAAUUUUCAACCUGCUCAAAACAUCAUUUUGAAGAACUCCCACUGUCAGUCAUGGAAAUUGGAAACAGAACUACUGCUCAAUGGUAAUUUGCUUAGUUCAAACAUCCCUGCAGAAACUAAUAUGGUUGUUUCUCACUUCUCAAUUUCUGAAGCAAUGCAGAAACCAUAGAAAAUUAGAACAACUACUAUAUGCCGAACCAUAUGCAGAAACUUGUAGAGGUAAAUCCUAUUAUCCUAGAAAACGUAUAAAAAAUAGAACUGUUAUAUUUACUUGUGCAGAAACUAUAGAAAAUAGAACACUUAAGUAUAAACACUUAAGUUGACGGAAGAGAGUAUUCUAAUAUAAAUGAUUCAGGUGCUUUCGAGUUUUCAACAAAUAUGCUGCAAGUAAGCUUUCUUUACGAAUGUAACUUGCUCAUCUCUCUUUCACAUCCCAAACUGAAUAUCUUGAUUUAUUUUUAAUGAUCAAGCUUCAACAUCUUUGUCUAUAACUUCUAAAGUUUUUUUUCUUUAUCUUUUUCAUAACUUCUAAGGUAUUUCUAAAUUAUGAAAAAUCAAAAAAAAAAAAAAAAACAGAAAAAAGAAUUAAAAAACAAUGAAGUCAUCUUCAUUCACUAUAGAAACUAGACAAAUUAAGAUCAACCAAGAUCUUUAAUUGAAAAAAUGUGCACAUGUACAAGCUACUCUUCAGUACGAGCUAGCACUCCAUAUUCUCCACCAGAUUCAUUACCCUCAUAGAAGGAGCCAGUUCCAAGGCAAUCACGCUCAACAGAGUAGUCAUGAUUCGUGAAUCCGCAGCAACCAAGUAAACUUGAAAUUUUUGAAAGAAGUCUACGUUAGAAAUUAUUAGAAAAUAGAAAGGGAAAGGGGGGUUUUGAGCAGAUAGCAGCUUUUCUUGUCUGUCUCAAGCCUCUAAGUCUAAAGUUUAAGGGAUUAGGGAAUUAGGGGUUUUGGGUAUGGGCUUAGGCUUAUUGAUACUAUGCACCUAACAUAUAUCCACUGUCAAUAAGUUUGCAAAGCGUAAUAAUACAAAAAUCUGCCACCAUCGUCAAUUGUUCAAACAGUUCAAACAUCUGUGAAAUGAAUGCUAUUUAUCCACUGUCAUUCCAGCUAAGGUAAAUCAUAUUCAUAUAUAAGGAAGUUUGAUAAUUUGGAUGAAGAUAGUGCGAGCAUCUCUAGAAUAGCAGCAGAUAAAAUAUGCACAUGAAUUCUAAACUCAGAAUGGCAACUAGAAUAUAGCAAUGCAAUUCAUCAUUCUGGAGAAGUUUGCAAAGCGUAAUAUAUAUCCUAGCAUAUAUAGUUCUUGGUAUCAACAAGUAUAAUUCUAAAUUGAAUAACCUAAAAAAAACAGAAAGAUAGUCGUUUAUUUCUUAGCAAAAGAACAGCCCCGCUUUAUUUCAUGCAAUAUUAAAUCAGUACUUUUUUCAUUUUAAAUAAGCAAUAUUAAUACCUGGAAUGAGUUGGCCUUCUUUGUUGAUAUUAGUAGAUGGACGACGGAUUGGUUGUAAAGUUGCUUGUUGUGCAAAAGAAGCUUCUCCUAGAGAAUUAUCACCCAAUGCCGCUAGAAUAAUGUUAGCAUCAAUAUCAAUUCCUGAACACUGAAGUCGUGCAAGGACAUCUGCAACAACUUCUUGACGGAUAGUUGCCUUUUGUUCCUCAAUUUUUUCCUCCAUUCUUUGUAUAUUCUCCUCCAUUUUUUGUAGAUAAUUUGUAGUAUUUGAAGAGGAUUCAAAACAUCCUACUUUCCCUCUCAAAGAAUUCUUGUAACCCCUCGUCCAUACAAUCUCAGGCGUCCCGGAUGUCCAGGCCCCAUGAUAGAUGCAAAUGCAUCUACGGACUCACUAAGCACUAGUUUCUUCCAUUUCAUUUUGAGCGUGAUAAAAUCAAUAGUCAAUGAGGGGAGCAGUGCCAUCAGAGAACGUAGCAUCUAACUGAAACCACAGAUUUUGGAUCUGGCUUUUAAAAGGAAUUGCUUGGACUUUGGAUUUAAGGACUUACUGGAGAAAAGGAAUCAAUCUGCUUUUUCUGCAUCAUUAGGUUUCAUACUGCACCAUUUGGAAACUAGGGAGAGCCAGUUUCAUUACAUUUAGUUGUAUUAAAUGGUUUACUAUGAUGCUUUAAUUUUAUAAAGUUUCAACAAAAAAGAUAUAAGCAUACUUGUAGCUUUUUCACCUUUCUGAUAUGUACAUCUUUCUGAUAUGUACACCAGCUUUUGGGAUUAGUAAGCUCAAGGCCCUGUGGUUGUGCAUUUAGGUAGCUUUUUCAACUGAGAAAUUGUGCCUUUUGCACCCUAGUUCAUCUUGCAGCCCCUUACUAGUUAAGUAAUGAAUAGUGCCUUUUGCACCCCAGUUCACCCCCAGAAAAUAAUAACUUAAUAGAUACAUAUCAUCAGUGGGAAACACUUAGAAAGCUGCUCCUAACCAUGAAUUGUAUCANNNNNNNNNNNNNNNNNNNNNNNNNNNNNNNNNNNNNNNNNNNNNNNNNNNNNNNNNNNNNNNNNNNNNNNNNNNNNNNNNNNNNNNNNNNNNNNNNNNNNNNNNNNNNNNNNNNNNNNNNNNNNNNNNNNNNNNNNNNNNNNNNNNNNNNNNNNNNNNNNNNNNNNNNNNNNNNNNNNNNNNNNNNNNNNNNNNNNNNNNNNNNNNNNNNNNNNNNNNNNNNNNNNNNNNNNNNNNNNNNNNNNNNNNNNNNNNNNNNNNNNNNNNNNNNNNNNNNNNNNNNNNNNNNNNNNNNNNNNNNNNNNNNNNNNNNNNNNNNNNNNNNNNNNNNNNNNNNNNNNNNNNNNNNNNNNNNNNNNNNNNNNNNNNNNNNNNNNNNNNNNNNNNNNNNNNNNNNNNNNNNNNNNNNNNNNNNNNNNNNNNNNNNNNNNNNNNNNNNNNNNNNNNNNNNNNNNNNNNNNNNNNNNNNNNNNNNNNNNNNNNNNNNNNNNNNNNNNNNNNNNNNNNNNNNNNNNNNNNNNNNNNNNNNNNNNNNNNNNNNNNNNNNNNNNNNNNNNNNNNNNNNNNNNNNNNNNNNNNNNNNNNNNNNNNNNNNNNNNNNNNNNNNNNNNNNNNNNNNNNNNNNNNNNNNNNNNNNNNNNNNNNNNNNNNNNNNNNNNNNNNNNNNNNNNNNNNNNNNNNNNNNNNNNNNNNNNNNNNNNNNNNNNNNNNNNNNNNNNNNNNNNNNNNNNNNNNNNNNNNNNNNNNNNNNNNNNNNNNNNNNNNNNNNNNNNNNNNNNNNNNNNNNNNNNNNNNNNNNNNNNNNNNNNNNNNNNNNNNNNNNNNNNNNNNNNNNNNNNNNNNNNNNNNNNNNNNNNNNNNNNNNNNNNNNNNNNNNNNNNNNNNNNNNNNNNNNNNNNNNNNNNNNNNNNNNNNNNNNNNNNNNNNNNNNNNNNNNNNNNNNNNNNNNNNNNNNNNNNNNNNNNNNNNNNNNNNNNNNNNNNNNNNNNNNNNNNNNNNNNNNNNNNNNNNNNNNNNNNNNNNNNNNNNNNNNNNNNNNNNNNNNNNNNNNNNNNNNNNNNNNNNNNNNNNNNNNNNNNNNNNNNNNNNNNNNNNNNNNNNNNNNNNNNNNNNNNNNNNNNNNNNNNNNNNNNNNNNNNNNNNAAAUCCCAUGGUUUCAAACAGAACAUCAAAACCUAACAAAUAAAUCCCCCAAUUUUACAAACUAGAAAUCACAGCAAAGAUCGAAUAUCUAUAGCAAACAUCGAAUAAAGAAACUAUUACCAAAGAAAUUGGGGCAGCGAAAUGAUUUUUCUGAAUAUUACCGGAGAAAGAAAAAAGGAGAGAUAAGGAGAAAGAAAAAGGAGCAGCGAAAAUAGGAGCAGCAAAAAUAGGAGCAGCGAAAGAAAAAAUUACUCGAGAAAGAAAAAAGCCCCCAAAAUAUUACCAGAGAAAGCAAAAAAAGAGCAGCGAAACAAUGUUUUUGAAUAACCAAGAAAGCAAACAUCGAUAGCAAACAUCGAAUAAAGAAAAUCUCAUGGUUUCAAACAGAAAAUCAAAACCUAACAAAUAAAUCCCCCAAUUUUGCAAACUAGAAUCACAAAUGUAUCAUGUAAUACAAACAAAGCAGAAGCAAAGACCUUCAAACAACAACAAUAACAACAACGCCAUUGGAGUCGAAAACGACGAUGCAACUGAGGCCAAAAGCGCUCCUAUUCUUAAGGAGAAGAAAUCCAAACGCCAAAUUAAAGAAAACAUAAGGGAAAAAAGAAAGAGAAAAUUGAAUAGUUAUACAAACAUCAAACAGGGGAAAAUCGAUAGCCUACCUCGGAGAUUGCUCGUAUGUUAGCCGAAACUGGUCGUCAAUCACCGGCAGUUGCCGUCCGUCACCGGAGCUGGCCGACAGAGUCCAUUGAUGGUGAGGUCGAUGUGUUCUAGGUUGAGGUUGAGAGAGACGGUGUUCAAGGUUUAAUUUUGAGACUGAGUUUAGAGAGAGUGACAGAACCUUCUAUGUCAAAUAUUAAAGAGUUAUAAAAUAUUAGUGGGGUCAAUGUUUUUAAUAAAAAUAU